rnacentral:lncRNA from 1 species
AAACAUGUCCCAUCACAAAAAAAGUGUUGAAGACUCUUGAGCCAGUACCCAAUCACGCCGUGAGGAAAAUGAUCCAAGAAUGGUGUGUUGAGAAUAAAGAUCAUGGGAUCGAGAGGAUCCCAACUCCAAGAAUCCCAGUAACCUCAUUAGAGGUAAUAGAGAUUCUUAGGAAGGUAGAGUCUUGCUGCAAAUCGCAGCAAGGCUUAGAGUCUGGUCGAGAACUAGUAAUGAAAAUGAGGAAGAUGAUAAAGGAAAGCAUGAGGAAUAAACGUUGUUUUGUUACCAAUGGAGCCGGAAAGAUCCUAUCGUCUACACUUCUUGUUUUUUCGGAGAAAUUAUCGGUUGGUGAUACUGAGACAAUGGAAGAAAUUCUAUCAACUCUGACAAUAUUAUUGCCUCUAGAUGGUGAGUCCAAGUCAAUUCUUGGAUCAAAAUCAUCUUUAAAUUGCAUGAUUUGGUUCUUGAAGUGUGGGAGUUUAUCAAGCAGGAGGAAUUCGGUAUUUUUGCUCAAAGAAGUCAUGAGAAUGGAGGAAAUAUGGAGAGUAGAAGAGUUACUAAAGAUUGAUGGAGCUUUGGAAUCUUUAGUGAAGCUUGUGAAAGAGCCAAUUUGUCCUACUACUACAAAGGCUUCUUUAUUAACAAUUUACCAUAUGGUUAAUUCAUCACAAUUAUCAAAUGAGAAGGCAAGAUCAAAAUUUGUUGAUUUGGGGUUAGUGGAAUUACUUAUAGAAACACUUGUGGAUUGUGAGAAGAGCAUAUGUGAAAAAGCAUUAGGAAUUUUGUCUGGACUUUGCAACUCAGAGAAAGGAAGAAAGAGGGCUAAUAGUUAUGCCUUAACUAUUCCUGUUUUGAUCAAGAAAUUGUUAAGAGUUUCAGAUAUGGCAACUGAAUUUUCAGUUUCAAUCUUAUGGAAACUAAUUGGGAAGAAUGAAAAAAAGGAUAAUGUUGUGCUUAUUAAUGAAGCACUUCAAGUUGGUGCAUUUCAGAAGCUAUUGCUACUAAUACAAGUUGGUUGUAGUGAAAAUACUAAGGAGAAGGCUAGCGAAUUGUUGAAAUUAUUGAAUUUGCAUAGAGAUAAGGUAGAGUGUAUUGAUUCUUUGGACUUGAAGAACCUAAAAAGGCCAUUUUGAACUUAGGUAUAGCUGAUACACGUACACUAUUUUUUUUCAUCCGCCAAUGUACAAAAUUGAACAAGGACAAUGAAUUACUGACUACUCUUUGGAAAUAUACAACUUUGUAUUCUUUUUAAUUUUGAAAUAAAAGAUUAUGUUUACUACCCAAGUGAAUUUGUCUAUUAUUAACUUGGAUUUGAUGUGAGAGAUUUUGUUAUCAAUCAAAUUUGGUACCUAGGCCGUGACAGGACAUUGAAUGAGCACUAAACUAAGCAUAACAGUAAACGAUUUAAACAGUAAAAUACAAUAAUAUAUAGUACAAUCUUGUAAUAUAAACGUUCGAACAAAAAACCCAUAUAUGGAAAAUAAAAGGCUAGGUUGCUCGUACAUUAGACUAUGCAGAUGACUUAUCGGGACAAAUUUAGUAAGCAACUUAUUAUGCCUUUUUUCCUUUAACUAAUUUAUAUGGCGGUUGGUGAUGGCAUUGACCAACGGUGAUAGUCAUGAUUUUAUGUGUAUCAACUACGGAUAGACCUAUAUUGUACCAAUUGAGUUUAACACACAAAUUGCUUCACCUUUAUACUAUGGAAGUAUGGAACCGAUUCGUGGUCAUUACCUUUUGAGUGCAUACAAAUAAACUUCGCUUUGAUGUAGUUGCGCCUUGAUCAUGUAAUCUUUUUUUAGAUUCGAUGGUCAAUUCCUGUGGAACUGUUGUGGCUAGGAAUGUCCUAGUUGUGAUGUUUGUUGCUCACUGGAGUUGGUAAUUCACAAACUACACAGGUAAACUCCAUAUAAGUAGCUGGACGGAGAAAGUGUGCUAAGGAGUAACAUACUUCUUGUUGUUUUUCGGGUACAAAAUCUACAUUUACAACAAUAAACUUCUACAUCAAGUUCAAGAAUAGCUUCAAGAACAACAAAGAAGUUCAAACUAAUUUAUGAAAAUUGUAAAACCAAUGGUUAGAAAGAGAUAAAGAUAAACAGAAUAAAGUUCAUCGAAUUCACAGUGUGUUCUUAAGGAAUUUAUUCCUCUCAAAGCUGUUGAAAAUUUAUUUUGUUAUAAUACUACAAUAGUGAACGAUAAGUAUUUGAAAGGUGCUAAGCAUAUGGAAUUUGAAAUACUUUUCGAUUAAAGAAGAAGUCCAGAAACAUAAAGUGUCAAUUGAAUAUAUUAGCACCAAGCUUAUGAAUGCUUACUCUUUGACGAAAGGAUUAGCGCCUAAAACAUUUAUUGAACAAGUUGAAAGAAUGGGCUUUAUUGACACUACAACACAAUGCAUCUAUAGCUAUGAAUUUGAAAAUUGUAGCUAUUACCUAGAAAUAGCCCCGAGAAAUCGAAUUUCAUAGCUAUCUACGAAUUAGUAAAGUUUCUUAGCCAUGAAAAGUUGAUUGACAAAGCUAAUUCCUCAUUUCUUCUAUAAUUGCUAACAAUCGUGACAAUAAUUGUCUAAAUAGCUACAGUUAAAUUCAGUUGCUAAUCAUAAGUUUUUCUUGUAAUGUUAUAAAAGUUAUUGUAGCACUAGUAACCUUUUAGCUGCAAUAAACUAUUUGAAACAAAAUGUUAUAGCUAAAUAAAUAUUUUUGCUUCAAGUUAUAAAAAAGUUGUGGCAAUAGUUAAAUGAUAUAGCCACGUCUUUGUUGCUAUGAUAAAAAUUUGUAGCAAAUUAUUAGUUUUUGCCACGAGUAUAAAGUUAUCGUAGUAAUAAUAAUCUCUUAGCCAUGACAAAUUAUUUAAAAUAAAAAAUUAUAGUUGAAUAAAUAUUUUUACUUCAAGUUACAAAAAUAAUUAUAGCAACGUCUUUUUUACUAUGAUAAAAUUUUAUAGCUAAUUAUUAGUUUUUACCACAAAUUUAAAUUUAUUGUAGUAAUAGUAAUCUUUUAGCCACAAUAAAUUAUUUGGAACAAAAAUUGUACCUAAAAUAUAUAUUUUUGCUUCAAGUUACAAAAUAAUCAUGGCAAUAGUUAACUAACAUAGCCAUAGAUUUUUUGCAACAGAUAAAAUCUUAUAGCUAAUUAUUAAUUUUUGUCAUGUAUUAAAUUUGUUGUAGCAAUAAUAACAUUUUAGCCAUAGAAAGGUUAUUUAUAAUAAAAUAUCAUAGCUAAGUAAUAGUUUUACUUCAAGCACUUAAAAAGUUGUGAGAGUAGUUGACUUAAUAGCAUUAAUUAUUUGUCAUUACAAAAUGAGAUAGACACAAAUUUAUUAUUGUGAUCAAAUUUCAUAGUUGAUAAUUAUUUUUACUAUGGAUUAAAAAUUGUCGUAUAAAUUCUAAUCUAGUGUAGUUAAAGGUGUUUUUCAUUUCGACUCGAUUUUAAAUAUUACAAGCCAACUUAUAAAAUCAAUAUAUAUAUGUAAAAGAGAAUGUUAGUCCAUCCUAUGUGGUAUGCCUUAGAGACCUUCAAUGUCAUUUAUCCUUCUUGUGAUUUUUUUGACAUUAAUUGAGUUUUUUUUCUCCAUUUAAAUAUUUAUGUGUUUAAAAAAAUUCAAAAGCCACUAUAUUUAACUCUAUUAAUUAUAUAAUAAUUUUAAGAAUGAGGAAGAGUUGAGGAGUUACUAAUGUGGAAGGUCUCUUAUAGUGAAUAUAUAAUACUCCAUUGGAAUGGGAUAGUAUAUAAUCUGAAAAUUCUUCAAUAUUGCUACAAUAUUCAUUUCCACCUUCCUUUCCGUAUAUAAAAGAUAAGAGUUGUACAAACCAAGUUUAAGCAACAAUAUGAACUUUUAGGUUAAUAUUUGCUUAAGUUUUGUAUUUCUGCUUACUACUUUUUGUUUGGAUUUUCUCACUAAACCAAAUGUGGAACAAGUAUUUUAAAGGUCACAUGUUUUUUUUUUUUUGUUCUUUUUUUUUUUUUUUUUUUUUUUUUUUUUUUUUUUUUUUUUGAUUCCUUCUGGAUAUUAUAUUUUUCUGUAAGUUCUUUCUACCUAUGCAACACAUGUUUUUUUAAAUCCUUUCUUGAUUUACAAAUUGUAGUAGAAACGAUUGACUUGUGAGGGAGUUUUUAGAAUAUGAGAAUCCGUUAGUACCGAGAGAAAUAGUGAGUUAAGUUUAUUACUUUGGGUAUGAUUUUUAUACUAGAAGGUAUUUUGGUCUCAUUUUAAUUAAUUGUAAAUUUUUUAUUAUGUCUUUGGAUAAUCGCUAAGGUUUCUAUUUGGCUAGGUCGAUUUAAUGCAUGUUGAAAUAGGAAAAAAUCUAGUGUACAGAUUGAAGAAAAUUCUGAAUGAAGGUUUAUUAUUUGACAUUAAAAACUUUAAGAUUAUUAUUGAAAGCAAUGGAGCAUAUAAACAACUUAGACGUAAUAGAGCACUUUUCUUCUUUUUGUUCAAUUCUCUCUAAUUUAAAUUAUGUGGUAUAUCACUAAAGCUCACAUUUAUUUAAUUUUAAUACUCAUGAUUUUCAUUUUAUUUUCUUAUCUAAAACUCAACUUUCAUAAUUAAAUGCCUCAAUUGAGUAUGUUUUCUUAAAAUAUCAAAAUUUUUAAAUAAUUUACAUCUCAUAACCUAACAUUAAAUUAUGUCAGUCAAUUAAAAAGGUUGUGACAAAAGAUUGAACCCAUUCAAAAAUUAGAAGUUUGAAUGAUUAAGAAAUAUAUAUGAGUAUAUAUAUUUAUUGUUAUUUAUUUUAAAAUUGUUUUCUUAAAAAAAAAUUCAUCUAUAACCUAACAUUAAACUAUGUCAGCCAAUUAAAAAGAUUGUGAUAAAAAAUUGAACCCAUUCAAAAAGUAGAAGUUUGAAUGAUUAAGAAAUAUAUAUGAGUAUAUAUACUUAUUGUUGUUUAUUUUAGAAUUUUUAAUUGAUUAUUUCUCCAAAAAUAAGAUAUGUAUUCUCCAAAAAUAAGACUUUAUAACAAAAUUUUACACUCUGUGUCAAAGGAAAACAUGAAAUACUCUCCAAUUGAUUAUUUUAUUUCUAAAAUAAAAAUUUAUUGAUAUUUGUUAUAUAAAUUUUUUGUUUUUUAAAAUAUACAAUCUACUAAUCUACUGAUAAUAAUAAAGGUAGGAAUAAAAGAAGAGGUAUGACAUUUUUCUUUGGUCAAGAAGUAAGUUUAUCUUUAUUCUCUUUUUGGAAUUUUCUUUAUUUUUUCUCAUUUAUGUUCUAGAUUAAAAUAAAUUAAAAAUCACUCAUUUAUUUCUCUUAAUUAUAUUAAUUAUUCAAUGUUAAGAAACUAAAAAGUCACCAAAAUUUUUUAAUAUCAUAACCCCAAAAAUAAUUAAUAGUCAUAUUCAUGACAUUAUUUAUUGUUGAGAUAAUACAUCAAAACCCUCCUGAACAUGUUAGCAAAAACUUACUUUAGACCCUAAACUAAUCAAAUAAUUAUUUACCCCCUUAUAAACUUUAAAGUGUAUUAUUUUACCCCCUUAACAACUGAUGUGACAAAAAAAAUAAAGGUGUGUUUUAGUGGAAAAAAAGUAUAAAUUUUUUUUAGUAGGGCCCACUUUUAUAUUUUUAAACAUUAUUGUUUUCCCUUUCUUCCUCACACCCCACCAUCCCCAUUUCUUCAUCUUCUUCCUCACACCCCACCACCCUCAUUUCUUCUUCUUCCUUUAUUUUUUUUUCACUUCUAUUCACCAAAAUCUUCAAUCAAAUACACAAUAAUAAAAUACAUAAAUUAUACGACAAAUAAACUUUCCUAUAAAGAUCAAGAAUCAACAAAUUAAAUCCCAAAAAUACAUAAAAAUCAAUUCUUUAAGGUAUCGUUCUCCAAGAAUUUGCUAAAUUUCAACACACAAAAAAUUCAAAGAGCAAAUCACAAAAAAAAAAAAAGAAAUUCAUUUAAAUUUUUAACCAUUAUUUUUUUUUCCUUCAAAAUUUUCAAAUCUUAAAAAUCACUACACUUAAACAACAUGAGAAAGAAGAGAUCAAUAGAAUCACGACUAACUUAUUCAAAUGCUUAUUGCUUUAUCACAAUGAAACUAUAGUUUCUUCACAAAUCAAGAUAUUGGAACUAUAUUUAUCAACCUUAUUCCUUCAACCAAGUUUACAAGCUAAUUAUAACCAUGGAAUUGAGUAGAAAAAUAAAUUCUACAAAUUUUUAACCUUAUUCAAUUUAACCAAAAAAUUUGAUCGACGAACUUCCCCAGAGCACCUGCGAUGGAAUUCUUCGCCAGAAAACGCUGAAACCAGCGAUCAGAAUCAGUCGCAGCAGUCCACCAUGAUUGUCGCUGUUCCAACGAUGGAGGUCAGCUGUUCAUAGGAGGAGGAAGAAGAAGAAAGAGGAAUGGGGUUUGUGGAGCGGAGGUUAGUUGUUGUUCAUGGAAGGAGGAAGAAAAAAGAGGAGGAACGGGCAGGGGUGCAUAUACCAAAAUACAAGAACAGUCACACCAAUUGUAUAUAAACAUAAACAUAUAUAUAGAAAUAUAUAUAUAUAUAUAUAUAUAUAUAUAUAUAUAUAUAUAUAUAUAUAUAUAUAUAUAUAUAUAUAUAUAUUUAUUUAUUUUUUUAAAAAAUAUAUUUUUUAUAUAUAGAAAAAUAGUAUAUAUAUAUUUUUCUUUUUUAAAAAAAUAUAUAAAAAUAGAUGUGUAUGGAAUUACUUUUUUUAAAAAAAAUUAUAAUUUCUUACGUGGCAAUGGCAUGGCACAGAUGUGACACUGAUUUGGCAAUGACAUGGUAUUGACAUGGCUCAAAUUGGGGUGUGUGUACUUCACUCUCCGCAGUGAGAGUGGUAUAAUGUUUUUAGAGGGAUAAAUAAUUCACUUUAAUGUUAUUAAGGGGGUAUAUAAUUGCCCGAUUAAUUUAGGAUUUAAAGUAAGUUUUGGCCACAAGUUCAGGAGUGUUUCGAUGUAUUAUCUCUUUAUUGUUUCAUAUUAUAGUUUACAAAUAGAAAUAUUGUAAAACAUUGUUAACAUUAGUUGCAUUACCUUUUGGUGUUAUAAUGUUUUCGAUGCUUAUUACAUCCAUGUUAAAAUUCGACUUGAGGUAUAAGAUGAAGGCUAUUUAGUAGUGAUUGACUUGUGAUAGUGAAUAUCGACAAGAGUUAUGAAGAUUGAACAUCAAUUCAUAUAUUUUUUAUUUUAAUUUUUAAUGAUUAAUGUCGUAAGAGUGAUGUUGCAUUAUUUAUUUUUUUAUAUUCAAAAUGUAUAUACUUGAUAAAACUGAAAACAUGUAUAUUUUUGUUUUUGGAAAUUAGAAAAGAUAGAACCAAAUAGAAAAAAUUGAAUACAAUUAUAGAAAAUUUAGGAAAUAAAAUAUUCAGAUUUGAAAAGUCAUGAUUACAAACUAAUACUAAAAUUCAGAAUUCAAUUUUAACAUAUAAAAAAUAUAUAGACAAACUAAGAAAUUUGAAUAUACCUAAACACUAACACAGAGUAUCCAUUAUAUAAAUGUAGGCAUGCGAUUAAGUAUUGUUCUUUGAAUCUCAUGUUAUAAUUUGAUAAUUGUUAGCCCUUAAAUAGAGGCAUUGUCAGACUUUUUAGAAAUGAUCACCUUAUUUUUGUAAGUUGUUAUGUUGUUGAUAUUUAUUAUAUUCAUGCUCAGUCGAAAAAUUAGAUGAAGACUAUUAAGUGGCGUUCGGUAUUAUGGGAGUGGAUACCGACAAAAACUCAAAAGAUUGUUCAUUAGCUUCACAUACUUUUUCUUCUAUUUUUUUUAUGAUGGUUGAGGUUGUAAAAAUGAGUCACAUCAUUUAUUUUUUCAUAUGUUCUCCCUAUGAUUUUUUCCCCUUUAUUUUGUUUUUUAUAUGAGUUUUUGAUUAUCAUAAGUUUAUAGCUUCUUUUGGUUUAAAAUUGUAACUUUUUGACUUUAUUAAAAGUUGGUAAUUAUUGGCCAAACAUUUACCUUUACAAAAUCAAUUAUACAUAUGUUAAAAGCCUGCUAAACAUUUCUUCAAAUUAAAUUAUAUAAAUUAUACUUAAUAAUAUUAUUGAUAUUUUACCUUUUUUCAUAAUCGCGCGAAGCGCGGAUCAUUUUACUAGUUCAAAUAUAUUUUCAAUCAAUAGGUGAUUAUAUUUGAUUAAUCUUGAUUAACUAACUAGAGAAAAUUGAAGGAAAUGUGUCAAGUCUUGAAUGUGGUAUUGCUGACACUGACCAACUUAAAAGGUCAAACAUAAUUAGAAAACUUGAUUAAGUUAAUUGUAGACUUGAUUAAUAUUUUCAAAACUUUCUAAUCUUUUUAAAAAUACAAAUCAACCACACCCCUCCCCUCUCCAAAUCAACCGUCUCUCUCUCUUGAUAGUUUCUCUCAAACUUCUCCCAACCAACAGUUCUGCAAAUUUCUCCCUUCAAUUCUCGAUGACUUCAACUUCCGACGAUAAAUAAUUGGGCUUCGAGUUCCUUUUUAACUUUCAACUGUCAAUCGAUGUGACAACAUUGCUCUCCAACGAUAACAACUUCGAGUUCUUUAUCGUUCCAUUUCUUCUUUCAUAGGUAAAAAAAUUGAGUUUUUUAGUUAUGAAGAAAAAGAGGAACUUGAGCCAAAUCUUCUAGUAUUGGUUAACAAUUUUAAUAUUUAUCGCAUAAAUUUGAAAUAGGGACUGAAGAAAACCCUGGUUUCUGGUAUUUCUUCUCUUCUCUUUCCGUAUAAAAUAUAUUUUUGUUGUUAUUGUAGUUCUUAUUGUUGAAUUAUUGAUUUGAUUUGUUGUAUUUUUUGAAGUUUAAUUUUUUUGUUUGUGUUUGUACAAAUAAAAUAACAAUGUUGGUAUUUUUGGUCACUGUUGAUGUUCUUGGUGUGUGUGUGUUGGUGUUGCUGGUUUGAUUUGUUGUUGUUCUUGGUAAAAAUAUGGUAUUUGAUAUUAAAUGGUGAUAUUGUUGUUGUUCUAUGGAACAAAAUCUAGCUACUGGUUUAUUUUUUUGAAACAGAUAAACCAUCUGAUGCAAUAGAUGGACCAUCUGAUGCAGUAGAUGAGCCAUCUAUUGGAUGAAAUCCUAUUAACUAUUCCAACGGGACGACAUGUCUAACACUUUGAUUUCUUCCAACACACUAUUCAUCUGUUGCGACAAAUGACCCUUCUGUUGGAAAAAAUCUAAAUAAUUGAUAGCUGAUAACAGUUUCAACAGAUCACUCAUCUGUUUCAACAGAUGAAUGAUCUGUUGGAAGAAGUCAGAACAACAUUAAAACUGUAUUUAUUAUUUUCAUUAGAUUAUUCAUCCGUUACAACAGGUUAGUUAUAUGUUGCAACAGAUAACUCACCUGUUAUAACAGACGAGUGAUCUAUUGAAACUGUUAUUUUACUAUGUUGUACUUGUUAGAUUUACUGUUAUCCUUUUUAAUGAUGCAUUAAGCAAUUAUAAUCAUUUUUAUUUUCAUGUUCAUCUUAGAUAGUAUGACACUCAAAUGAAAAAAUAAAUAAAUCAAGUCCAAGUAAUGAAAUAAGUGAAGCAGCUAGACAAUAUCCACCACUAUAUAAGCUUGCUUUACAAGUAAUAUCUCAAUUAGAAGCAAAAGAUAAUGAACAUGGGGAUGAAGAAUGUUUCAAAAGAGAUGAUUCAAAUGCUAAUAGCUCUUCCACAGAAAAGUUGGUCAAAACUUUCAACAUUGAUAGUUAUCCUAUGAGAAUACACUGCGAUGGUGCCAUAGAUUUAACUGGUGAUUUCGUGGUUAAGUCAGCCAUGAAAAAAAUCUUUUGAUACCUUCAGAAAAAUACUUCGAGUCCAAAACUUGGAUUCUUAUUUCAGAGACAACCGCUUUGGGCAAUAUCUUAGUUUGUUGGAGGACAAUAAUGCUCGUUUUCAAAUGGCCAAGAUAUAUGAUCUUCUUAAGCGUAGGUUUAUAUAUGAAAAUAAGGAUAAAAUGGAUGAGGUAUGGAUAAAUUACUGUGGCUUGCCUAUUUGUUUUUGUUGGAAAGAGUUUGUCAUAGUUACUGGAUUAAAAUGUUAUCCCCCUUCUCAACCUAUACUUAUUCUAACCCAAAAAAGUACCCCAUACACCAAAAAAAGGCAAAGACAAGUCAAGUGAUGGUGAUGAAUUAUUGGUCCAAGCUUCAAAAACAAAAAAAUUGAUAGAAGCGUUGAAAGGUGAAAGACUGUCAAAGAAGUACAAACAGUCAUUGUGCUUGGUUUGGUUUGUACAUAGUAUUCUUUGGGCGAGAGAUGUUAACAACAACAUACCACUUGGUUUAAUAAAGUUCUCUGAGGAUCUCGAGGCAUUUAACAGCUAUCCUUGGGGUUAUAAAAGCUUCAAAAUGACAGUCAAAUAUUUGUUGACUCCAUUAACACCAAAGACAGUCAACUUAUAUGGCUUUCCAUGAUAAAUAGUUCUUUUGAAAUGAUUCAUUUAUUUUUUAUUGAAUAAUGCUUUUGAUUUAUUGACAUUAUUUUAUAGGCUUGGGCAUUUGAAGCUAUUUCUUGUUUGAGACAACAAGUGAACUACUAGAAAAAAGUUUCAUAUCCAAGAAUUCUGAGAUUGUUGUCGGUCAAAACUGAUAAAAAGACAAAAUUUCUUGAUCUCUUUAAUCCCCUGAAGGAAAAAAUAAGUCUAAUUCUAAUUAAGUUUUUAUUUUAAUUAAUAAUUUUUUAAAAUGAUUUAGUCAUCACUCUAAUAUAUGUACUGACUUAUUUUAGAUUGUGUAUCCGUGGCUUGUUCCGAUCAAUCGAGAGUUGAAGAUAUCAUUUUUUCUUAAUUUACGAUCUGUGCAAACUUUAUAGAACCUUAAGCUCAUUGACAGAAUAAAAAAGAAAUUACUUGGAGCAACAACCAUCACAAGAAAAAUAAUUUUGGAUGGUGGGCUUUUUGUUAUUGAUGGUGUUAAUGGUGAUGGAGUUGUUGGUGGUGGUAGUGGUAGUGGUAGUGGUGCUGCUAUUGGGGCUAAUGAUGCUCCUCUUGCAGUUUUUGAAACAACAAACCAUUAUGAUUAUGAUCAUAUUGGUUUUACAGAUUUUUUCCCUCCUAGCGAAUGUUCUGCAUACAAAUAUCAAAACUGCUAGGCGAAACAUGAUGAAGUGAUUAAUUUUAUUAGUGCAUUAACUACUUCUGUAAAGGAAUUGACAUCUAAGAGGAGUGUCAUUCCAUCAAAUAGAAUUUCAUAUUCAUACACUCCAUUAGAAACUAAUGGUGCUAAGAGGAGAAGAAAUAAAUGGGUCAUCUGUUGGGACAAAUUACAUCAAGACUUCUCAACUGUUUUAAUUUGUUCCAACAGAUGAGUCGUCUGUUUCAAUAGAUGGGUCAUUUGUUGAAAAUUUUCAUUCAGUUUUUUCUUCUGUUUUAAUUCAUCCCAACAGAUGACCUAUAUGUUGUAAUAGAUGGGUCAUCUAUUGGGACAAAUUACAUCAAGGGUUCCUACUGUUUUAGUUUGUUCCAACAGAUGAGUCAUCUGUUGUAAAAUAUAGGUCAUCUAUUGGGAUAAAUUAAAAUAGUAGGAAGACCUAUUUGAUUUCCUCCAACUGUUGAGUUGUCUUUUUUCAAUUUUUUGAAUCUCUGUGAUUAGUACUGACAAUUCUGACUUUCCAAGCGGAUGUCACAAUAGAAGCUACUGUUGAACGGCAUACCACAAUUGAUAAUCCAUCAUCUGCUUCCAAAGAAGAAGAAAAAGUGAAGCCUGUUAGUCCGGAAGAAUGGAAGAAUUGUUCAUUUGAAGGGUUCAACAUCUCGGAUGAGGCUCCUAAAAAACUAACAAAGUUGUUCAUCGACUAUUUCGAAUGGAUUGUGAUGGACUGUUAAAGAAGCUUCAUGCCAACAGGUACAUAAAUCAUUUUCAAUUAUACAAUUCUUGUUGUUAAAACACGACAUUAACAAAUAUAAAUCAUGCAGAAAAGACCUACACUAUAAAGUGAACCAAUGGGGUCUUGAUUUUGAUAUGUUCGACUUUGUUGUUGCACAUCCCCAAAGAAAGAAUUGUUUCUAUUUGAUGUCACAAUCCCAAACUUGCUGGAAUAAUGAGGUUUAAAUGUCAUAUAUAUAUAUGUAUAUAUAUAUAUAUAUGUAAAUAUAUAUAUAUAUAUAUAUAUGUAUAUAUAUAUUAACAUCAUAUUUAAUUGUGUCUAUUUAUUAAUUUUAUUGUUACGUAAUUUGAAAUGUGCAGCACAUCGAUGCCAUUUUUUACUACCUCUGAAAGAAGGUCAAGUUGAAAACACAACAACGAUAUAAUAUAUAUAUAUCUUUCUAUUAACACUAUAUUUAAUUGUGUCUAUUUAUUAAUUUUAUUAUUACGUAAUCUGAAAUGUGCAACACAUCGAUGUCAUUUUUUACUAUCUCCGAAAGAAGGUCAAGUUGUAAAUACAACAACAAUAUAGAUACACAACAGGAAACUAUUUGUUCAAAGUUUACAUCAGUAAGGCCUACAAUCUUUGUCAAUAACAAUUGGAAAUUCCUCGAAAUGAGGAAUAUUUAAUCAACAUCAUCAAAGGUUUUAGCAUUCCAGCUGGCUUAUCUUGGCACUUGAUCGACGAAGUGUACAUUCCAAUCAAUUAUGGUGAUGAGUUUCGUUGGGUGUUGGUUGUCGUUCUUCUAAAUGAGAGGCACAUCUGAGUUUAUGACUCAGUAUCGCGAAGGAGACAUUCUGAGCCGUUGUCUGAGAUACAAAAGUUGGCCAAAAUAUUGCCUACUUACCUUGAUAUAAGUGGCUUUUUGGACCAAAAGAUUCAUACUGAUUAGUCAAUGAUUGAAGCAUAAGGGGAUAAAAUGGUUAAUCCAUUUGAUGUAGAAAAUGUUAAAAAAAAUUGCUCAACAAUCCAGUGGUAGCCUCUAAGUAUAAUGAUUUAGUUUCAUUUCAUAAAUAUCACAACUCUUAAAUUAAUUGCAAGAUAUGAAUUAUCUAAUUUUUACAAACACAAGGAUUGCAAUCUUUUUGGUACCGCUUACGUCGAGUAUUUGAGCGAUGGAUUACAAGUUUCAAAUGAUGGACUAGUUGCCGGAUUAUUCCAUAAAAUAUAUGCUACUCUUUUAUGAAAAUAUGGAGAAUCAAAGGCUCAAAAAUCGUACACAAGCGACAUUAAAGAUUCACGACGAUCAAAGUCAAAUUUCAUAGCACCGGAUGAAGAGCAACUUGUUAAUAUUGAGUAGAUCUUUAUAGCUUGAGUCAGAGUAAUAAUAUUUCCUUAGAAAUUGUUGGCUAUUGUAGAUAUCUAUCAUCUGUACCCAUAACAUUUUUUUUGCAUUUCAUUUAUUUAUUGAUUUAUUUAAUUUAAUGUAAUUUGUAAAGACUUCGAUUUAUUUUGUUUUGUCUAUGAAUUUUAUUUUAUUCUUAGAUUUGAACUUAUUAAUUAAAAUUGAAUUGUAGAUUCAAAUAUUACAACAAUCAAUUGAUUUGUUGCACCAUAUGUCACACGUGUUGAAAAUUAUCAAAUAUGUCUUUCUACAAGUUUGAAUUGUUCCAAUAGAUGGACUAUCUAUUGCAACAAAUGGUUCAUCUGCUGGAGCAAAGUAAAACAAUAUUACUACUAAACCAGAUGAACCAUCUGUUGCAACAGAUAGUCUAUCUGUUGGAAUAAUUCAAACAAGCAGGAAGACCUGUUUGAUAAUUUACAACAGAUGUGACUUGUUGCAAUAGAUCCAUCAUCUAUUGCAUUAUUUUUUGUAUUAGUUCAUAAGUUUACAAAUUUAAUGAAACCAUACAAUUGUCAUCAAUCAUAAAAAAUAAAAAAAAUUGACAUUACUUAAACAAUAUACAAUUAAGUUAAAAACUUAGAAUAAAAAUUGUCAUUAUUUUUUUACAUUUUAUUUUUUAAACACAGACUUCAAAUUUUCAUAUAGGAUCCCAGCAGCCCAGACCUCUUGCAUCCUUGCCACAAUGUUGUCACUCAGAAAGGACCUUGGUAAUGAGAUUUCGGUGCUAGUUAGCAAACAUUCAAUAUAUGCAAGCGAGUAUGACCUGCACGCGGAAUCGAUUUUAUUUUUGUCAAUGUUCUUUUUUCGACCUUCAAAAGUCCAUCUUUUUUUGAACACUUCCUCUGGCAAGUUUUCAUUCAUUGAGUCACUUUUCUCCAACAAUUUGGGGAUCAACUUUUUUUAUCCUUUUUCAAAUUUUACUUAAAAGAAAAUGGUUUCGACCUUUUCGAACUAUUUCAAAAUUCAAGAAAAUUUCAAAAUAUUUUUUUAAAGAAUUCAUAGAGUCCCCACUUGAUUUUUAUAAAAAAUAUCAAGGAAACUUAAAGAGACUUCAAAGAUUUAAACACAGAAAUAAAUCUUUGAAAUUAGAGAAACUGAGUAAGGGUUCAAUUAACGCCCUAAGAAGGUUUUUAUGGCACUUAGGAACGUCCGUUUUAAAAAAAAGGUUCACCAAAAGAUCAUUUUUGACUAACUUAGGAAAAGGGUGACGAACUUUGCAAGAAGAUUGCUUUUAUAAAAUUAUUUUGUUUACGUGUUUAAAAAUUGACAUUUGUUUAUUCAAACGAAAAAUAGUCUAUUUGAGUUAGAAAAAUCUACAACAUGUUUCACUUAAUCCAAUAUUUAUUUUGAGAAAAAAAGAUUAUAAAAUAUUUUUCCUAAUUUAUGAUUAAUUCUACAAAAUCUUCUAGAGAAAUAUUUUUACUUAUUUUAAAAUUAAUCACAAAAAGUUAGAAUUUGAAAAAAAUCAAGGAAUAUUCUAAUUGAGAAAUAUUCCACUUAAUUCAUAAUUAUUUCUAGAAAAUUAUGAAAUAUUCUACUUGAAUUAAAAAGAAACCUACCUAAACUAGGUUGCACAUUUGGAUUUGAGAAGGAAAUAAGUUUGUGUUUCAUAAAAAAUGAGUUACAUAAUUAUUAUUAUUAUUAUUAUUAUUAUUAUUAUUAUUAUUAUUAUUAUUGUUGUUGUUGUUGUUGUUGUUGUUAUAAAAAAGGCCAAUAACAUCUUUGAAAAAUAUUAAGAAAAUGUCAUGUGAAAAGUGUCUUAUCAAUUAUGAAAAGUUAAAAUUAUGAAAAGUUAUACGAAAUCGAAUUCGUCAAAUUUGAUGAAUUUUCGAUAAGCACAAGAAUUUUCUUCAAUUUCCAAUAAAAACUGAUUUACCAUAGUCUCCAAAACUUUAAGCUUGCUCGGAUGCUCCUGAACCCGAAAUUCCUAUUCUGACCGUAGCCAAUGCAAGGGCAUUUUCAUCAAAUGGAACAUGAACUAUUUGUAAGUUAAGAUAUGAAGCUUCAAAUGAAGAAAUAACACCGAAGAGGGACGAAAUAAGGGAUUUAAUGAAAUGGGUGCUGUUGAUUAAUUGAAGGAAUUUGCAGAAAUUGGGUUUGAUUAUAAUGACUUUUUGGUCCAGGAUAAAUUCUUCGAUGGAGUUAAGGAGAGUGAAGACAUCAUCAGUGUUGUUGUUGUCAGUGUUGGAGUUGUCUUUGUUGACAUCGGCGAAGAGUUCGAAGUUGUUGGUUUUGACAAAGUUGGCGAAUUUGUGAAACAUUUUGGAGAUUUGUUGUGGGGGUUUUGUUGUUGUUCCUUCCAUUUGUAAAAUAUAUUUUAUUAUGGAGAAGACAUUGUUGGAGGAGAAAUUCUUGGCUUGUAGUUUUGGAGGUGGGGGUGGGGGUCAGGAGGGGGUGAUGGGAACGGGGGCGGAUAAUGAAGAAGAAGAUGAAGUUGGGUUCUUGAUUUUUUUUAAUUUUAUAUAUAUAUAUAUAUAUAUAAUAGAAGAGAAGUUUCGACAUGCCUGCUUCAGCAGGCUGCUUGCUUCGUGAUUUUACUAUAUCACCCUAAUUAAUUAUUAUAAAUUAUUUAUAUAUUAAAAAAUUAAUAAUAUUUAAUUAGAAAGUAAGGGGGGGGGUAAAUAAUUACCCGAUUAAUUUAGGGUUUAAAGUAAGUUUUGGCUACAAGUUUAGGGGUGAUUCGAUAUAUUUUCUCUUAGUUAAAGUUAGAUCAUAGAUAUCAACAAUGAAUUACAAAGGAAAUAAAUAGAAAUACAAGUUUGGAUUGGGCUUUUGGCCCAUUUUUUGGUCUUUCCAGCCUUGGACUGCAUUCUUAAUGGACUCUGGGUCCAUUUUUCAGCUGUAUGCCACAUGUAUAUCAGCCUUAUUUUUUCCUGCGUUUUAUUGUAUAUAUGCUAUGUAUCCAUGUCUACAAAUCUAUGCACUUGCUCCUAAUUUUCAGUACACAUCAUAUAUGAGCAUAUACCAGCUACUUUUGACCUGUACAUCCCGUAUAUAUGACAUAUAUCAGUGUAUACCAGCAGUUGUUUUUGCACAUUAAUCCAUUUUUGACUUCAAAGAAUGGGUUGUGACCGAAGGGAUGCAAGGAUUGUCGUCCUGUGGACACGGUGAGGCAGAUUCAUCUAUAGAAAGAGAAAGAAGAACAAGCUUGAAUCACAAAUAUACUCAAAUACGCAUAUUGAAACCAAAUAGAGAUAGUUCGUCAUUAUUCUUGAUUUUAAAUAUUCAACGGGAAAACACUUUAAAGAUUCGAAGGUCUAAAGUUAAGUGAGAAGGCAAGGGCGAGGACGAGUGCACAGAGAAGAACCCGAGCUUGGAAGAGAAGUUAAUUUUUCACACAAGAUGCCUAUUCCAGUUUCUCUUCUAUUUAACCACAUGAAUUCCAAAGACAUGGGCAAGUCCUAAUACUAAUUUUUAUAAUAAGUAACAAAGCCUUGAAUAAAGCUAAAAUCAAUCCAUCUCAUAGUCAAUCAUGUACCCGCAAAAUGAUUUGUAUAUCAAUAUGCAAGCUAAUUAACACCUACUCAGGAAAGCAUGAUCUUGCAAUAUGCUCAAUAUUUACUAUAUGUCUCUGUAAUACAACCAAGAGUUGAUCAACAUGAUCAAGUAAAGAAAGCAAAACUUACCUUUUUAAGAAGAAAUUAGAGAGUAGAUAAACUAAACUUGACGUUCUUGGGAGAAACUAAUAGCUUCGUAACCCGACAUGAUCUGGACGACCAUACAGGGGCUGGAUUACGACUCAAUACAACACCAUCUACAAAACCAAAUGGUUGUUCUGAUUGCCAUCUCUGUAAGAAGACGAAGAAAAAGCAUGCUCAAGCAAACAAAGAGAUAACACCGGGCUAACAGGAAAACAUCGCUUACUAACAAAGGAUCGCAACGACAAUCUUUAGUUAACAGACUUGGCACGGGAUUCACAUUUAGAUCCUUACCAUGCCAUUCCAGCAAUCAAACCAACACCCCAGAAAGCUAAUCCGACCAAAUCAUAUUCAAACUAACAAGCCAAAUUCAAAUAAAAUCAAAUAAACAAAGAGUAAUUAAGAUGAGAAUAGGGGGAGUAUUACAUUUUUAGACGCACGAACCAGGACGACGAGAUGACAAAGAUGAAUUCAAAAUCAGAAUUUCUGGAAUUUAAAUGAAUUCAAAGGAUUUCUCGGUUAGAGGAAUGCUUCUCCAGAAUCUCUAAGUUUCCCCCCAAGAAUCACCCUUUAACUCUUGUUCUUUACUGGGUAUUUAUAGGAGAUUUUGGGACUGAUUUUGUAUGAACAAAGGGGUAUUUGAGGAAUUUCAAAAUUUGAUAUUUGAAGAUAAGGUUGGUAUAAAAAUAGACCGUUCUUACUGAACUGUUGCUGCAGCUGUUGUUUGUCGUUACUAUUGAACACCUUUGGUGUUGUUUUGCCGUUGAAGUUGUUGUGGUCGUUGAACAUUGUUGUUGUUGGUUUUGACCGUUGUAUGUUUUUCGUGUGUUGAUGUUGUUGGUCGAUUGUUGUACGUUGUUUAGUUUUGUACCGUAUCGGGUCGAGUUUUACGUUGUGUGUUGUUGUACCAAGUAGUACAUUGCUGUUAAGAGGAAGGGAUUGAAGGAUUGGGCUGUUUGGGGAGUAGGUCAGCAGAAUUGGGUUUGGGCUGGUGGACAGUUUAUGAGAUAUCUGUGAAGUGUAUUAUAAGAUAUCUUUGUGGCACUUCUAGUCUGAGUUUGUGUUUUUGUACAAGGAAGCCUAUUCUUUGUGGUUACAUUGAUUCAGAUAUGGUCGGUGAUGUUGAUACUCGCAAGUCUACUUCAGGGUAUUUGAUUACUUUUACAGGGGGGAGCUGCGUCUUGGCAAUCUAGGUUGCAAAAAUAUGUUGCUUUAUCUACUACAGAAGUUGAGCUUAUUGCUGUCGUUGAAGCUUGUAAAGAAUUGAUUUGGAUGAAGAGAUUCUUGGGGGAACUUGGUUGUGCUCAAGAGAGGUAUGUACUUCAUUGCGAUAGUCAAAUUUCCAUACAUCUUGGUAAGAAUUCUACAUUUCAUGGUCGGUCUAAACACAUUGAUAUGAGAUACCAUUUGAUUCGGGAUGUGUUGGAUUCUAAGUUUCUUGAACUUGAGAUGAUUCAUACGAAUGAUAAUGGUUCCGACAUGAUGACUAAAUCUUUGCCAAAAGGGAAGUUUGAAGAUUGUUGCAUGAUCGCCGGGAUGACGAUCUCCCCCACAUAGUCGAGAGGGGGAGAAUUGUUGGGUCAUGGGCCUUUGUCCCUUCCUAUUUGGAUAAAAUGAAGCCCAAUUUGGACCAACACAUUUUUGCCCAUAGGCCCAUUACUAUGGGGCAUAUAUAUUGAUCUUUUUAGGUCUUAUUCACCAUCACAAAAAGAGAGUUUUCAGCAGCCAAAGAGAGAAAAACAAAGCGGAUUUUCGCACCUAAAUUCCAGCCAUAGCUGUCAACUUCAAAUUGCGAUUCCCACUUCGUUUCUUGUCCGAUUGAGUUGAUUUUUGGACUGCUUGUUCCUCUCAUAUCAAUAUUUGAUUAGGAACUGAUGGAUCUUGAUUUGGUAGUCUGUAGCUCCUGUUCUUUAUUCCCGAAUAGUAGCUGCGUUUUUUAUGCUUUCACUCCUUUAUUUCUCUAGUGUUUGGUGCUGUGGUUUAUGUAUUGUUUCUUGUUGUUUGACACUUGUUUUGUGGCCAUUUUGGAGGACAAUAUUGUAACUCUUUGGUGAUUAUAGUGGAGGUUUGGUCCCGUGGUUUUUUAUUCUUCACACCGAAGGGUUUUCCACGUAAAUUUGGUGUCUUAUGUGAUUGCCUUUAUUGUUGUCCUAUCGCAUUUGUGUGCUAAUUCAUUUUCUAUCAUAUUACUUUAUUUUUCCUGGUUUUCUUGUCUCCUCUUGGUUCAAGUUGAAAGGAAAAGUUUAGUCUUGGGUAUUUUCCGCUGCUACCCCGUCUGGCUCUUUGAUUGUGUGCCCGUCUUUUCUAACAGGUAUUUAUAGGAGAUUUUGGAACUGAUUUACAGAGGGGUAUUUGAGGAAUUUCAAAAACGAGUUUCAAAAUUUGAUAUUUGAAGAUAAGGUUGGUACAAAAGUAGACCAUUCUUGCUGGACUGUUGCUGCAGCUGUUGUUUGUCGUUACUAUUGAACGCAUUUGGUGUUGUUUUGCCGUUGAAGUUGCUAUUGUCAUUGAGCAUUGUUGCUGUUGGUUUGGACCGUUGUAUGUUUUUCGUGUGUUGAUGUUGUUGGUCGAUUGUUGUACGUUGUUGGUCGAUUGUUGUACGUUGUUUGGUUUUGUACACGUAUCGGGUCGAGUUUUGCGUUGUGUAUUGUUGUACAAGUAGUACAUUGCUGUUAAGGGGAAGGGAUUGAAGGAUUAGGCCGUUUGGGGAGUGGGUCAGCAGAAUUGGGUUUGGGCUGGAGGACAGUUUUUGGGCUGAUGUGGUGAUAUUUAGUUGGGCAAAUCACGUAAUCUACAAUUUUAGAGUCUAUAUUAUAAAAUCUACCACUAGUUUCAAAUUUUCAAAUAUACCACUAAAAAAAUAACAAAACUUAUCAAAUAAGGUAAAAAAAAAAAAAAACAAUUAAAAGUAUCAAAAUUGGAUAAAGAAUAAUUGGUCUUCUUUCCUAUAAUUUCUCCUAAUAUAUUUUCAAUUCCAUAACCAAUUCCAUUUCUUUUUUAAAAAUAAAAUUAUUUUGGAAAAAAAUUUAAAAUUACUAAUAUAAAAUUAACAAACGUACACGAAAGAACAUGAAAUUUGGAACCAAAAAGAGGAGCGUGUUCUAUCAUUCACAAAUUUCUUCUUCUUAUUCUUUCCCUCUCUUUUCUAUUUGGUUUAUUUUUGUUUGCUCUUUUCUAUUUCUUCUUCUUAUUAUUAAUUAUUUACCUCUUUUUUAUUUUAUUUUUUUGAUUUUCUCGCGUGUGUUACUAGUUAACACAGAAAGAGUAUAUAGUUACCCAUUUGUAAUAGCAUGAUUUAAGGAGACAAUUUAAUGAUUGAUGUUUUAUCUUAUAAAUUCUUCUACUUUAUUUUUCAACUAAAUUUUCUUUUAAAAAAUAGUAAAUAAGAUAAUGGAAAAAACAAUACAUUUAUUUGAUAUUUUUUGAUGUUUUUAUAUUUAAUUUAUUUAAUUCAAUGAACAUUGAUUUUUAUUACUUCUAAGAAAAACAUCAUUAAUGGUAGUAAAUUCUCCGAUUGAUUCAAACCACAUCUUAUACAAAUUUCAUACAUCAUAAAUUUAUUAAUAACCCAUAAAAUUAUUAAUAAACUUCUUUCUAUAUCGAUCAUACAUUAUAAAAAUAGAUCAAUUUCUAUACAUUUUAGACACCAUAAAAUUAUUGAUACACCAAUUUCUAUAUAUUUCAGAUACUAUAAAAUUAUUAUUAUUAUUGAUACACCUAUUUCUUAAGAAUUCAAACACUAUAAAAUUAUUGAUACACCAAUUUCUAAGACACCUUAAAAUAAAAUUGAUGAUAUACCAAUUUCUAUAUAAUUUAGACACCAUAAAAUUAUUAAUAUAUCAAUUUCUAACUAUUUUAAAAAUAAUAAAAUUAUUGAUAUACCAUUUUUUAUACAAUUCAGACACCAUAAAGCAGUUGAUACACCAGUUUCAAUACAAUUCAGACACCAUAAAGCUAGUGAUACACCAAUUUUUAUAUAAUUCAUACAUCAAUUUCUAUACAAUUCAUGCACCAUAAAAUUAUAGAUCACCAAUUUCUAUACAAUUCAUGCACCAUAAAAUUAUAGAUACACCAAUUUCUAUACAAUUCAUGCACCAAAAAAUUAUAAAUACACCAAUUUUUAUAUAAUUCAUGCACCAUAAAAUUAUAAAUACACUAAUUUCUAUACAAUUCAUGCACCAUUAAAUUAUUGAUAUCCUGCCCCCUUGAUGUCAUCGGACAAUUCUCUAAACUCAUCGAGACUACCCGACGAUCUAAUCUGAUUGACCUAUUUAUUUUCAAUACUCUUUCUUUCCAACACCGCAUAAGUACAAGAACAAUCAGUAGAAAUAAACAUUCAAAAAAAAUUCAAAAUCUCCAUCGAAAAUCAUAUUCACUCCCCAUAAAAUUAUUGAUUCACCAAUUUCUAACUAUUUCAAACACCAUUAAACCGUUAAUACACCAAUCUCUAUAAAGUUCAAACACCAUAAUAUUUUUUGAGUGAAUUUAUGAAGGAGUAACCGGGAACGGAGUUGAGGUUUCGGGAGGAGGAAGAGAUAACGUGGCUAGUGGAAUGGGGGAAGUAAUAGGAGGAAGAGAAGAUGUAGAAAAAGACAAUGAGAGCGUGAAAGGCGAGGAGAAAAAACAGUAGGGAAUACCUUGCCUUUUUUGAUAUCUGCAUCACUCAUUCACUGCUCAACAACACAGAUGGCAAUGGCCAAAGAAUAUAUUUUGGAAGUUGGAAAGAGAAAUAUAUAGGAAAUUGGAAGAUUAAAUUGAAGAAUCCGGAGUGAAUUAUUAGUGCGAAUAACAAGAAAGUUUUUUUCCAUAAUUUUCGAAUAGCAAGCAAUUUUAAAAACUCAAAAAACUGUUUUUAUAGUGGAUGAUAGAUUUUGUAAAUAAAAACUACCUUUUGUAAAUAAAAAAUAAUAGUGAUAGUUUUUGUAAUAUUGAUGCUUAAAUUGUAUAUUCAUGUGAUUUUUCCUAUUUUUCUAUUUAGUAAUAUGGGUCAAAUUUUGGGUAGAUUAUGUACUUUCUGAGGUUAUUUAAAUAAUAACUCCAAUUAGUUUAGGAGGUAACCACUUUUAUUUAAUUUUCGAUCAAAUGAAAAAUCAAUUGGCCAAUUGCAUUGUAAUUUUGGUCGAUUUGAUUUCAGUUAUGAUCAAAUUUAAUAAAUUGACUAAAUUCAAUUAAAAUUCGAUAUGAAUUAAUACCUCAUUUAAUCCCGAGCUUCUUGAUUUAAUAAAAAUCAAAUAAAGAUUUUUCCAAAUAAAUUAUUUUCAAAAAUAAAUUAUAUUUAAAUCAAGAUUUUAAUCAUUUGAAUUUAUUUUCAAGAUAAGCCUUGAUUAAAAUUCGAUAUUACAUAAACUAAAUAGUUAAGUAAGAAAAAUUAUAUAAUUUUGUAUAUUUAAAUACGAUAAUAUAUAAUUGCUACUUCAAAUGAAAAAUUAUCCAUAUAAAUACUUUGAAAAGCUUUUAUUCGAAUAAAAUAAAUAUUAUAAUUUUAUUUAAAAUUGAAGAAACUCAAAAUUAAAUUUAGUUGUGGAGGACAAAAAUUAGGUGUCAACAUCAACUCCAAUACUGGCUGUACCAUGGGGAAAAACUCAUGGUCCUCAAAGCAUGGUAAGUUGCAGUCAUAGGCAUUAAUGUUUCCCUUAUAGAGGAGAAUCUCUAGAGUCCCAUAAUAUUUUUUUCCCAUGUUCAUGACUACAAGAAUUCUUUUUGCCCCGAUCCAACUCAUGUUGUAUGGAAAUGACUUCUUUCCUCUAACAUAGUUAAUCAUAUUUUGAUCCCAUUUGAACUGUGAAAUUAACGUCUCAAGAUCUAGGCCACCGGAAGGGUUCGCUUUGGUACAAAUUAUUUCAUACCUACUCUUGAAGUAAUUGUAGAAAUUGAGGUCCAUUAUCCUAUUGGAAGGAUCAUAUGCUUUGCUGUACACGAGGUGUCUUGCCCUUAUGAGGCAGAGAAUUUCAUCAACAUGCUGUUAUAUAAGAAGAUAAUUUUUAAAUAGGUUAGUAAUUUUUUUUUAAAAAACCGAAAUGAUGAAAUGGAUUGCCCAUCUGUUGAAGAAGAUGGGUAAUAUGUUGCAACAGAUAGUCGACCUGUUGCAUAGGUUCUCUGAAUCUAUGAACAGAUUAGCCAUAUUUUGCGACUUAUGCAACAGAUGGACCACUUAUUGCAAUAGAUGAAUCAUCGCUUCUCUGAACCUGUGUUAACAGAUUAUCCAAUCUACUGCAUAUUUAUGCAGCAGACAGGUAAUCUGUUAAAAAAGUUGACUUAGAAGGUUAGGUUAUUAAAAGUAAAAACUUACCCUGUCCUCGUACAACUCAUACAUAUUUGUCAUCAUCUUGAAUUCUUCGGAGGAAAGUAGAUUUAUCAUGAAACACGUUGCAGGUUUCUUGGAAUUCUUGUGGUUUCUCAGAGUCAAUAGCCUGUUAGUGCCAAUGGUUAUGUAUAUGUCCACCUUCCUCAAUGGUACCUGAACUUUAUCAACAUUUGAUGGAGGAGGAUUUGCAUUUUUUCGUGAUUUCCUAUUUGAGAGUAUACAUCCAAUUAAUUUUUUCUUCUUCCUAACCUCCUAUGUAGGAGUGUAUGGCUCUCUCACCUUUUUAGAUGGUAUAACACCCCUCUUGGAUUUCAAUUCAUUGAAGACAUCAAUUAGAUCAUCUAUUUUUAUUAAACAGCUCAUUUUGUCUGCCUAAGCAAUUUUUGCAUUUGCAAAGAGAACAUGAGCUUGAGGAAGGGUGAGAUUGGCCACUGGGAAAUCAUCAUCUGCUAGAAGGUUAAUUUUCAUUUCAGACAUAUUUAUUUUUGCUUGAGCACCCGCAACAUGCUCAUCCACAUGGCUGCCACCAACAUCAAUAUUUCCACCAGCAAGACCCUACAAAUAACAACCAAAUCUGUUACAAUAGGUUGGUCAUGAAGAGCCUCAACAUGACGCUGAGCUUGCCUAACUGCUCUUCUUAUGGCCAUUGUUCCAGCCAAUUUCUUCUUUAUUAAAUCCUCCAUUGGGUCUUCUAUUGUAUAAAUGAGACCUAGAUUAAUAAAAGAAUUUAUCCCCAACUCUUGUUAAGUAGGUACAAUCCAUGGAUGCACAACUUAUAAAUAAAAGUAGAUACGUUUAAACCAAACAUUAAUUUACAGUCAGUUGGGUAAUAUGCUAACAUAGACAACUUAUGCAAAAAAUGAUCUUUUUGUUACAAUAGAUGGUUCAUCUUUUGCAAUAAUUUAACCAUUUGUUGCAUCAGAUUACCCAUCUAUUGCAUAAGUUACAGCAGAUGAGUAAUCUGUUGUAAAAGAUGACUCAUCUGUAGUAACAGAUUACCCAUCUGUUGACUAUUGCUGUAGAAGAAUAAUCUGUUAAGACAAAUUAUAACAGAUAUUUCAUCUGUUGCAACAGAUGUCCUAUCUGUUUUAAUAUCUUCCUUUGAGUCAAAUUAUUGUACUUGAAAGAAGACUUACUGCAUCAUCCGGAGGGUUAAAGAGAUCAACCUCUUUAAUUUUUGUGUUGCUCUUUCAGCCAACCACCUAAGGAUCCUUAGAUAAGAAACCUCAUCCAGGUAAUCCUUGACCUUCUUUCGAAGGUGAAAAAUGACUUCAAAUUCCUAAACCUAAAAAAUGUAAAUAGGAAGCAAACAAAAAAAGUCAUAAUAAUUAUUUAAUAUAAAUUAAUGCAAGAGUAAUCAAAUAGUAAUUAAAUUUACCAUGAAAGCCUACGAAAAGCUGUAUAAGCUGAUUGUCUUUGAGGGAUAGUUUUGUCAAUAAAUAUUUGAUAGUCAACUUGUAGCUGUCAUAUCCUUAGGGAUAAAUGUUGAAUUCAUCCAAAUCUUGAGCAAGCACCAACAAAUCAUCUUUUAUGACUUUGUUGAAGUCUCUUGCCAGUAUAAUGAAAUGGGCAAAUAAAACUAAGCACAAUUGAUUCCUAUAGUUCUUUGGUAUGUCUUUAUUCUUGAGAUCUUUUAUCAGCGUCUGGGCUUUGUAGCCAUGUCCAGCAAUGUCUAGCAACCCUUAUAUUUUUUUGUUGCCUUUGUUGGUUUUUGUGGGUGGUCGCUUGGACAAUGUCUUGCCUUUAUUUGAUGGUGGUGGUUUGGAUGUCUUGGUUAUCUUGGACUUUUUGCUGGGUUUUUCCUUGAUGAGAGGUUCUUCUGGCUGAUGGCAUCUCAAGCCAGUCAUUAUGGCAAACUUCUUUAUGCCAAAACAAACCAGCAUGCCACAAUAGUUAAUCUAGAUUUCAUCCUUCUUUUUGUCCCUCUCCUUCCAAUCUUUAUCAUCACCCACGUACAUGAUCUCGCACUUGAGAAGACUAUAUACCAUGCUCAUUUGAAAGCGGGCAUUGUUGUCCUCAGGCAGGUUAAGAAAGCAUCCAAAGCAGCUGGACCUAAAAAAAUCCUUUAGUUUUUCCUUUCUUAUAAUAUUCCUAAAAUCAUCAAAAUGUUUUCCUAUAACAAAUUUAACUACAAAAUCACCGGUUAAAUCUGUAGGGUUAUCUAUCUGCAUCUCAACUAGAAACCUGUCAAUACUAAUAGUUUUGACAGGAUCAUGCUAGGUUUUCGAUCUUAAUUCACUUCCCACUGAUGAUGCAUUAUCAUCAUCUUUCUCGUUCUCCUUGGAAGAUCCAUCUUCUUCCUCACUUUGUAUUUCCUCAUCUUCUUCUUUAUCUUCAUUUUCUUCCUGCUAACUUUUAUUUUCCCCACCAUCCUCGACAAAACCUUCUCCACCUCCCUCAACAUUAUUUUCCUUAGCUUCACCAUUUUCCUCAAUUUUGUUUUUAUACCUUUUCUUAGCGUUACUUUUUUCUGAAAUAGAUUGUCCAGGAAGCUUCUCCGAAUCCAUAUGUACUAUAGCCUUUUUUGUUAGCUGGUCAGAAGUUGAUCCACUUUCACUUUCUUUUCUUUUGAGAGACAUAUUUUACCUAUAAACAAGAGAAAAGUAAAAAAAAAAUAAAAUUGAUGUCUGCAUAAUUUUUUUUUUAAAAAUAUAAUAUAAAAUUCAAUAAACACAACACACUACAAACAAGUAUUCCAACAGAUGACCCAUCUGUUGCAACAAAUUAAUAACUUGUUGUAACAGAUGGGCUUCUGCUAGAAGAAAUCAAAAUAGUGUUGCUACUGAUAUAUUCUUCCAACAUCAGAUAUAUUUGCUGCAACAGAUGGUUAAUAUGUUAGAAGAGCUAUUUUUUUUAUUCCAACAGCUGAUACACCUGUUGAAACAGAUGGAGAAUCUGUUUGAAGACCUAUUUUAAUAUCUUCCAACAGAUGUUCCACCAGUUGCAAUAGGCCGGUCAUCUCUUGGAAGUUAUCAAAAUUGGUAGCAGUUUUGUUUUGAUAACUUCCAAUAGAUUACCUAUAUUUUGCAAUGGAUGGUCAUAUGUUGGAUGAAAUUGAAUCAGGUCUUCCACAUUUUCAUCAGAUGUAUAAUUUAUUGGGUGAUACAACACCCCCCCCCCCACCACCACCUAUACUACUACCAACACCAACACCAACACCACUAAUAUCAAUACCACCGAUACCAACACCAAUACUACCAAUACUAACACCACCAACACCACCAAUAUCAACACUACCGACACCACCACCAAUACCAACACCACUAACACCACUAAUACCAACACCACCAAUACCACCAUCGACACUACCACCAAUACCAAUACCAACACUACCUCCACCACCACCACCAAUACCACCACCUACAUCACCACCAACACUACCAAUACCAACACCAACACCACCAAUACUAAUACCACCAAUACCAACACCACCAAUACCAACACUAACACUAUCAAUACCACCACCACCACCACCACUACCACCACCACUACCAACACUAAUACCACCAUCAGUACCACCACCAACACCAUCAAUACCACCACCACCACCAAUACUAACACCACCACCACCACCACCGAUACAAAUACCAACACCAUUACCAACACCAAUAAUAUGAACACCAUCACCAAUACCUACACCACCAAUACCAACACCAUCACCAACACCAACACCAACACCACCAAUACCAUCAAUACCAACAUCAUCACCAUAACCACUACCACCAACACCAAAAAUAUAAACAACAUCAACAAAAUAAAAACAAAUAACAAAACCAAUAUCAAAUAAAACAAACAAACACCACCACCAACAGCCACCAACACCACCACAUACACCAUCUAACAAUACCACAACAGUCAACAUAAUACUGCAAUAAAAAUUAGAGUUUUCUCAGGUUCUUCCUACAUUUUUUAGCAUCAAAACUCAAAAUUAUUAAUUCAUUCUCAAAGAUAAUACAACUAAAAGUCUUUUUCAUUAUUAACUAAAAAGUCCUAAUUUUUUAAAAAUAUAACAAAUGUAGAACUCUUCUCGAACUCUGUUACCUGUGAAGAGAGAGAAAACGAUGGAUACAAGAAAGAAAAAAAUUAAAAAUAACAACUAUGUGGUCGAAAAAUGGAAAGAAAAUCGAUCUGUUGUGAAUAAAUGAUCAAUCUGUUGAGUAGUUAUUGUUUGUAAUUCCAACAGAAUGGAGCAUGCGAUGCACCUUAUAUUCCAUAGGAAUAGACCAUGCAACGCAUGCUUAUCGCACGCUUUCACUGAAAUUAGAGGUACAAGCAUCACUAUAUCCAUAUCGAUGAAUCAAUACAAGAGCUUAGACUAGGCUAGUUCAUGUUGAUCUUUCAAUUAUUGUUCCGCUUCCACACUUAGUCAAAUUAAACUUUACCCAUCACCAAUAAGUUAUUCCAUUAAUAAUCACACAUCAAAACCAUAAGGAGCAAGUUGAACCCAAUAGAAUCCAUCAAGAUAGACUAGACAAGUGACUAGCUCAAGCUAGAAGAACUAAUUUUCUUAAUUAAACUCUAUUAAGUACAAACUUGUUGGAAAACACUUGUAACCAUUAUAAACACGUCCUUUGACACUUGUAUUCACAUUUAUCUAAUUAUCAACUCAUAUAGCCUAGAAUCAUCCUCAAAACAAGGCUUAAAAGACUAGAAUAGUGACACUAGAGUGCAUAAAUACACCCAACAUCAUUUGUAUUGUUGAGAGAGAAAGAGAAGAGUGAUAACUCAAGAUUUAUAAUAAUAAAAUAUUUUUCCCACAACUGGAUGACUUAGAUGAGUUGAUUUGUAUUUUGUAAAAGAAUGAAAACUUUUGAAUAUAUUAAUUUGGUCUGAAUUGAUCUUAAUUAAUUUUUUAAAAGAGAUAAAUUUUAACUAUUUCAUAAUAAAUAAAAUUAAUUUCACUAAAAUUAGUUUUCAGUUAUUAAGUUCAAUUGAAACUUUGAUGAAUUCAAUAUUAACUCAAUAAUAAUUUAAUAUUAAUUAAAAUAAAUAAAAAUAUUUGUUCCAACAUAUUACUCAUCUAUGACAAGAGUUGAAUAAUAUGUUGGAAAUGACCAAACAGAUACAUCAUUUAUUGCAACAUAUAAUAUUAUUUAUUUGGUCAUUUCCAACAGAUGAAAUAGUUGUUGCAAUAGGUUGAAUCUAUUGCGAUACAUUACCAAUAGUUGAUCAUGUAACUACAAUGAGAUCAAUUGAAAUUGUAGUUAAAAUUAUGAACUCAUACUUAAUUCUAGCUAAAUCAAUUUAGAUAUUUCAAAUAAUGGCUUGAUAUGAAUCAUUUCAAUUCAAUUUGAUAAAUUGAUGACUCUGGUCAGGACAAACACAAUAGUUGAUCAUGUAAUUACAACGACAUCAAUUGAAAUUGUAAUUGAACUUAUAAACUCAUCCUUAAUUAUAGAUAAAUCAAUUUUGAUCUUUUAAAUACUGGCUUGAUAUGAAAUAUUUCAACUCAAAUUGAUCUAUUGAUGACUCUGGUCAGGGCGAACACAAUAGUUGAUCAUGUAAUUGCAGUGACAUCAAUUGAAAUUGUAGUUGAACUUAUGAGAUCAUCCUUAAUUAUAGCUAAAUCAAUUUAGAUAUUACACAUAAUGACUUGAUAUGAAUUAUUUCAACUCAAAUUGAUCAAUUGAUGACUCUGGUCAGGACGAACACAAUAGUUGAUCAUGUAAUUGCAAUGAGAUCAAUUGAAAUUGUAAUUAAACUUAUCAACUCAUACUUAAUUAUAUCUAAUUAUAGCUAAAUAAAUUUAUAUAUUUCAAAUAAUGGCUUGAUAUGAAUCAUUUGAAUUCAAAUUGAUCAAUUAUUGGCUCUGUUCAGAACGAACAUAAUCGUUGAUCAUGUAACUGCAAUGAGAUCAGUUGAAAAUGUAGUUAAAUUUAUGAAAUCAUACUUAAUUAUAGAUAAAUAAAUUUAUAUAUUUCAAAUAAUGGCUUGAUGUGAAUUAUUUCAACUCAAAUUGAUCAAUUGAUGACUUUGGUCAGGACGAACACAAUAGUUGAUCAUUUAAUUACAACAAUGUCAAUUGAAAUUGUAAUUGAACUUAUGAAAUCAUUCUUAAUUAUAGCUAAAUUAAUUUAGAUAUUACAAACAGUGUCUUGAUAUGAAUCAUUUGAAUUCAAAUUGAUCAAUUGAUGACUCUGAUCAGGACGAACACAAUAGUUGAUCAUGUAAUUACAACGACAUUAAUUAAAAUUGUAAUUGAACUUAUCAACUCAUCCUUAAUUAUAGAUAAAUUAAUUUUUAUAUUUCAAAUAAUAACUUGAUGUGAAUCAUUUCAACUCAAAUUGAUCAAUUGAUGACUCUGGUCAGGACGAACACAAUAGUUGAUCAUGUAAUUGCAAUGAGGUCAAUUGAAAUUGUAGUUAAACUUAUGAAAUCACUCAUAAUUCUAGAUAAAUUAAUUUUAAUAUUACAAAUAAUGUCUUGAUAUGAAUCAUUUAAACUCAAAUUGAUCAAUUGAUGACUCUAGUCAAGACAAACAAAAUAGUUGAUCAUGUAAUUGCAAUGACAUUAAUUGAAAUUGUAAUUGAACUUAUCAACUCAUCCUUAAUUAUAGAUAAAUAAAUUUUGAUAUUUUAAAUAAUGGCUUGAUAUGAAUCAUUUCAACUCAAAUUGAUCAAUUGAUGACUCUGGUUGGAACGAGCACAAUAGUUGAUUUUGUAAUUGCAAUGACAUCAAUUGAAAUUGUAGUUUAACUUAUAAACUCAUCCUUAAUUAUAGCUAAAUCAAUUUAGAUAUUAUAAAUAAUGGCUUGAUAUGAAUCAUUUGAACUCAAAUUGAUCAAUUGAUGACUCUGGUCAGGACGAACACAAUAGUUGAUCAUGUAAUUGUAAGGACAUCAAUUGAAAUUGCAAUUGAACUUAUCAACUUAUCAUUAAUUAUAGCUAAAUCAAUUUAGAUAUUUUAAAUAAUAGUUUGAUUUGAAUAAAUAGAGGACUAACCUGUUGCAACCGUUGGCACAUCUGUUGAAAAGUAUCAAAUAAUUAUAGACAUCUAUUAAAAUAUAUGUUAUUGCAAUAGAUUACUUAUCUGUUGGAAAAUAUCAAAUAGAUAUUGACAUAUGUUGCAGCAGAUGACUUAUCUGAUAGAAAUUAUCUCAUAGAUAUUGCCAUUUGUUACGAUAGAUGAUAGAUCUGUUGGAAAUUAUCAAAUAGAUAUUGACAUUUGUUGCAACAUAUUACUUAUCUGUUGGAAAUUUUCAAACAGAUGUAGACAUCUGUCGUAAUAGAUGACUUAUCUGUUUUAAGAUCAUUUUUAUUUCAAAGCAAUUUUUCUCUAAAAUAAAAAAAAGAAAAAAUACUAAGGAGAUCAAACAUUUUUUUGGAUAACUCAAAAGUCUCCUCCUUGUAUUGUCUUAUCUUGUCUUUCCAAUGUCAUCGUCCGUAUUCUCUUUCUCCUCAAAGCGUUUCACCAUCAUAAAUUAACAAAUAUCUAAACCUAUUUCUAAAAUUUUCUCUCCUUCAACCAUAAAAUAAUUCAUCUCUCUUCUUUCUCUUCUUAACCAAUCUAUAUCUUUUCUUGCUUUAAAUUAGUGUUUUAAUCCCUCUGCUUUUGACAUGGUAGGUAUGGUUCACUAUUAGAUCUGCGUUCUCUGCUAUUAUUCUGUCUUCUCAUCUUCUUCUUGCCCGUUUCAUCAAAUUUUUCAUGUUUUCUUUGAUGUAAAUUGAAAUUGUGUACAUCAUAUUCUUAAAUUGGUUAUUUGAAUUAUUUAUUUACAUAUGUUGUUUUAAUUUAUUUAUCCAUUCCCUAUAUCUUAUUUAUUGAGAAAAUUGAAGAAAAAUGUCAUUUAAGUCUUAAAUGAACAAACCGUUGUUUUUAUUAAAUAAUCAAAAAAAGUUAUGACCCUUGAGUUAUUCCAACAGAUGGUUCAUUUGUUGCAACAGAUUGGUAUCUAUUUGAAGAACUCAAAACCUGGAUUGCUUUCUUCCAACAGAUGGCCUAUCUGUUGUAACAGAUUGAUCAAAUAUUGAGAGAACUUUAAAAGCCUUGUUGGCAGUAUCAGUGUUGUCUGUUUAUUUUUUUUUAUUUCUUUAGUAUUGAUGUUGUUGUUGGUUUUUUUGGUGUUGGUGUUGUAACAGGUGGAACAUAUGGUGGAGGAUAUUAAAAUAAGUCUUUCAAUAGAUUUUCCAUCUGUUGCAACUGAUGAAUCAACUAUCAGAAUAAAUAAAAAAAACUCUUCCAACAUAUGACUUAUCUAUUGUAAUAGAUGGAGCACCUGUUGGAAGAAAUCAAACCAAUAGCAAGACUGGUUUGAUUUCUUCCAACAGAUGACCCAUUUGUUACAACAUGAUGGUCAUAUAUGGCAACAGAUGGAUCAUUUGUUGGAUUUAUUGUUGUAAUAUGUUGUAUUUAUUAUAUUUUGUGUUACCCUUUUUAAAAAUUAUACAGACAUCAAUUGUAAUAUUUUUGGUUUUUCUCUUAUCUAUAGAUAAAAGAUGUCUCCCAGAAGAAAAGAAAGUGAAAGAGUACUAACUUUUUCCCGACCAACAUAAAAGGCUAAAGUAAAGAUGAGUUUGGAGGAAUAAGCUCCUUGCAGAUGGAACUACUUCAUAUGUGAGAGGUAUGUAUUACUAAUUAUGUUAUCGUGAAAACACACAUAGAGUAUAGUAAUUUUGUGAAUGUUGAUUUUUACAGAUUAGGCAUUGAUCAUUCAAACAAGAUAUUGCAUUUUACAGUUAAGUCUGAUAGGUCUGAACUGAUAAGGCUACGGGACCUAGUAGGUAGUGUCGAUACCCUGUUAUGGUUUAAUGAUAGUUUUGCUAAUGUUUAUGUGUCAAGUUUGGAGAAGGGAUCAAGUUUUGGUCUUAGUUUAAAGAUUUAAUAGUGAUGGACUGAUUUUAAGGGUUCAAUGGACUUUUGAAAGGCCUCCGAAGCCUCGCACUACUGUAAAAAAAAGAAUGGAAAUCAAUAUAGUUAUUAUUUUGGUCCAAAUUUAUAUGGCCGGGUUACUCGGGGUGAUGAUUAUACAACAGAAGGUGCUUGUGAGAAUAUCUGUGAGGAAAAGGGGAGGUACUAAAGACUAUAUCAACUUAGACCUUAUUAAAGAAGAAACAUACAAGGAACGUGAAGCGAAUUUAGCCAAUAAAACUGACAUAAAAAUAAAAAAACUGAAUGAGCUACAAAAAUGAAAGUGUAUUCGAAAAUGAAAAUCCAUCACUCAUUGUUGAAAAAAAUGGUGAAGUGGACUGGAGCUGUGCACUUUGCUAGGUAACUACGACUAGUUAGCGUGCUCUGAAUGAUCACCUCCAAAGAAAAGAAUAGAACUCCAAAAAAGUAGAUUUGCAAGCACCGAGGGUUGGAAAUAUGUACAGUCAAGAAUGAAAGUUGCACCAAGAACUACUGAAGUUAAAAUAAGGGAUCAAGCUAAGACGAUAAUUUCUGAUGUUAAACCUGCAUCCUAGGCCUUCUGUUUGUGGUUCUGGUCACGUCAACUUUAGAGGAAACAAAAGGGCAUGGGAUUUCUGCCUAAAUUCAGACCUUUUGAUUUCCACUACUAUUGACUUGAUUAGAACCACAAAUAGAAGGCAUGGGAUGCAAGUUAAACUUCAAAAAUUGUCUCCUUGGCUUGAUCCCUUAUUUUAGCUUCAAUAGUUCUUGGUGCAAGUUUCAUUCUUGACUGUACAUCUUUCCAACCCUCGGUGAUUGCAAAGUUACUUCCUUGGAGUUCUGUUCCUUUUUUUGGAUGUGAUCAUUCAGGCCACGCUAACUAGUCAUAGUUACCUAGCAAAGUGUACAACUCUAGUCCACUUUAAAAAUUUUCUUUUCAACAACCACUGACGAAAUUUUAUUUUUGGAUACACUUUCAUAUUUGCAACUCAUUUAGAAUUUUCAUCUUUCAAGUCAAUUUCAUUAGCCAGAUACGCUAGAAGUUCCUUGCUUGCUACCCUAUGUUUCUUUUUUAAUAAGGUCAGAGAUGAUAUAGUCUUCAAUAAUUCCCUUCCCCCCCCACAGAUAUUCUCUUACAACAUAUUCUAUUGUAUAAUCAUCUCCCCUAGCAACCCAUCCAUAUAAAUUUGGACCAGGGAAAUUUCUAUUGAUUUUUCAUUUUUAUUUGAUGCACUGGGAGACUUCAAAGGCCUUUUCAAACUCCAUUGCUCCAUUAAAACCAGUCAAAUCAAUAUUAAAUCUUUACACUGCCAUCAAAUAUUGAUCCCUUCUCAAAACUUAAUGUAUAAACAUGAGCAAAACUGUCAUUAAAUUGUAAUAGAGUAUCGAUGUCACCUUCUUGGUCCAUUUGGCCUUAUCAAUUUGCACAUAUCAAACUUAACUGUAAAAUGCAGGAUCUUGUUUGAAUGAUCAAUGCCUAAUCAGUAAAAAACUGCAUUCACAAAAUCAUUGUACUUUAUGUUUGCUUUCACGAUAACCUGAUUAGUAAUAUAUAACUCCCAUGCAUGAAAGUGGAUCCAUCCAUUUGCAUGCACCUUAUUCUUCCUACCUCAUCAAUGUCAAAUAGUGUUUAAUCUUUAGUUCCCAUCAUGAAGUAGUGUACAAGACUACGGAGGCUCAAAAGGUAACCAUCUUUAAAACCUUUCUUCUUAAUCUUCUGGGAAGGGUAACAACAAUCUCAAAAACUAAAAACCUGAUUAAGAGAAACCCUUGCUACUACUGGAUUGAUUUCUUCCAACAGAUGACCCAUCUGUUGCAUUAAAUGAAAAAUCUAUUGGACUACAUGCUCGUCAAGAAAAAAUAAGUGCUCUGUAUGUAAGAAAGCUAGCCACAAAAGAACUACAUGCCCAGAUCGUAAUGCACCAUGAUUGUUGUAAUAGAAAAAUUGUGUUGUUGUUUGUUGUGAACUUUGAUAAUUUUAACUCAUUGUUGGAAAUGUAAAUGUUAUUAUUUAUUAAAUAAAAAAAUAUAUUUUUAUUAACUUGUGCAUCAAUAAAAAGAAGUAGCAGUAACUAAAUACAAUAGACUACAAUAAGUAUUUUCCGCAAAUUAUCCAUCUGUUAUAAUAGAUAGAUAUUUGCUGGAAGAACACAACACAGUUCAUCAAUCUAGAUUGUGUUCAACCAAUAGAUGACCAAUCUGUUGCAACAGAUGAGUAAUAUAAUGAAAAAACUCAAAACCCUUGCUACUUGAGUGUGUUCUCCCAACUGAUAGCACAUCUGUUGCAACAAGUCUACUGGAAGAACACAAUACAAUUUUUGCCACUAGUUUGUGUUCUUCCAACAGAUGACCAAUCUAUUUCAACAAAUGGUCCAUCUUUUAAAAGAACUGACUAAAAAUGGUUAUUAAUAAAAAAUGACUAUUGAAAAGGUAAAAUGUCAUGACUUUUUGAUUAUUGAAUAAAGAAAAAUAGUUCAUAAAUAAAUAAUAAGGAAAUAAAUGAUAAACACAAUUUAAAACUGUAAAAAAUAGUUAUUUAUUUUAAAUAACUAAUGUUAAAGGUGAAAAGUCAUAACUUCAACUUUUUUGUUUUUAAUAUAAAUAAUAAAAAAUUCACCAGUUUAAAUUAAUUAAGAAAUAUAAUUAUUAAAAAGAGGUGAACAGUCUUGUCUUUUUGUCUAACAUAUUUAAACAACUGAUGAAUCAGAUUUCUGUCUGUUGCAAUUGAUAAAUCAUCUAUUGGAAGAAAUCAAAAUUGCUCUUCCAACGGAUGGUCCAUUUGUUGGAAGAACUCAAUAAAAAUGGUUAUUAUUAAAAAAAUAUAGUUAUUGAAAUUGAUAAGUCAUGACUUUUCACCAGUUUGAUUUAAAUAAUUAAAAAGUCACCAGUUUGAUUUAAUUGAGGCAUGUAAUUAAUAAAAUGGAGGUGAACAGUCGUGACUUUUUACCUAACAUAUUUAAAUUCAUUCCUCUAUAAAAAGAUCCCUCCUUACUUGUUCAGUCUACUCUACUUUAUUUAUUUCUUGCAUUUUGUCUUUCCUAAAAACACCAUUACAUCUUCAACCACUUCUCUUCAAAGAGUAAACUCCUUUUUCGUCUGUUGAGGUAUAUUUUUUUUUUUUUUUGUAAAACUACCAGUUGAUAGUAUACAUUGUAUUACAUUUGGACUCUUUUCUUUUCUUUAGUGUUUUACGUUUUUUGUUAAUGGAUAUGUGUACUUGAUAUGGCUGAUCCGGUUUGGGACAUGGCAAUUCUGUGCGACACCAUGCGGGAACUUUAAAUGCAGGUUAAUGAACUCCAGUAGAAGUUGGGCGUCAUGAGAGCAAGGAUGGUUUGUGAGAUUCAAAGGCAGAGGAGGGCCUUGUUACUGCCGGUUGACGAUUGGCCGGUUGACAAUAAUAUUAUUAUUAAUAAUAAUAAUAAUUAGGUUAUAUUUUUUCUUUUAGCGAAUUUUUUUUCUUGAUUUAUAUCGUAUCUACCUAAACCUAAUGUAAUGUAUGUUUUGAUUUAUUUUGUUUUAUAUUUUUGUAUGUAAUGAAUGAAAAAAAUCUAUGUUGGUCUGACUUUGACUUUAUUUCUUAUUUAAUUUUCAUUCUGUCUAUUACUUUUUCUUAGUAUGUUGAGGGUUGGAGGUAGGUUUGAGCUUUUGACACAAUUUUGAAUCUCGUAGCAAUAGCAAGAGUUUUGAGUUCUUCGAACAGAUGGACCAUCUAUUGAAACAAAUUGGUCAUCUAUUACAAGAACACAAACCAGUGGCAAGAACUGUAUUGUGUUCUUCCAGCAGAUCUGUUGCAAUAGAUGUGCCAUCUGUUGGAAGAAAACACUCCUUCUUACAUACGAAACACUUAUUUUUUCUUGAUGGAAAUGAUUCUCCGACUCCACGCCUUCUCUUAUAUCACCUUUUUCCCGAUUUGAUAGUGCUUGGGUCAAUAUACGAAGGAGGUAUUAUUCUCCCUAAAAUCUCUACAGGAACAACUCAAGAUUCUUCAAGAGGCACUAGAUUAAUAUUCUCUCUAUAUGCCAUUAUAUAUUUUUCCACCGAAUAAUAUAGAGAUGAGCAGUCAUAAAUUUAAGUUUCAUAUGUGCACCAUAUUGGGCUCGAAGUCCUACCAUAGCAUAUGGACAAGGUAUUCUGUCCAAGUCAAGAACUCUACAUACACAAGAUCUUCUUUGAAGAUUGACCAUGACAAUAUCACCAUGACCAUCAAUACUGAACUUGUAAUCUACUAUGUGAUGAGUAAAAUAACAUAUUCCCCAAAUUGAUGUCCGUUGAUAUUUGUUUUUACGCUUCUAAAACAAAUCUGUUUCUUGUGUUCGCGAACUGCAUAUGCCUUUCAUAAAAUAAUUUGGCAUACUUUUUGUUUAUUUAUCAAAUAGCGCCAUAAUGGAAAAUUCUCUUUCAACGCCAAAUAAUAAAUUUUGCUGAUUCAACUAUAUUUGAAGUCAUAAUAUUAUACCUAUACAAAAAAAUACUUAAUAUGACAUCAUACAAUAUUACAAACUUGUAACUCAAACAAGACAUUAAAUUUAUAACAAUGUACCUAUUUAUUGGACAAAAUGUCUGGCUCCAUCUCUUGAAACUGACACAUUUGAGAUGUUGUGUUGCCUUGGUGAUGUAUCUCUUAUUUGACUGAAAUGAUAAAAAAACUCAGCUAUAACAUAUGCUUUAGUUUCUCUAUAAAAAAGAGACAUGACCCUUUCAUUGAGAAUGUUUUGAAUAUUUUCUCCAAGAUGCCUCAUGCAACAACCAAAGUGAGUUGAAGUGUAAAAAAAUUGAACCCAUCUUUGGAAUACUUGGAUGUCUAUCUGAAAUAAUGCACAACUCUUCUGUAUAUUUGACACAGCUACACAUUUAUGCAAAAAUAUCCAUACGAGAUAUCAAAUUCUUUGGUCACUACACAAAAAGAGUCAGAAAAAAUGUGACUCUCCGCAUCCCGUGCCACCGCCGAUAGUAAAACUCCUCCAUACUUGCUCAUCAAGAAAGUAUCGUCGAUGGCUAUGACUUUUCUCAACUGUUGAAAACCAAGAAUCCAAGCACCAUAGGAUACCAAAAAGUACUUGAACCUUCCAUUUUCAUCAACACCGUCUUACUUUUGAGAUUCGUGGACUCAAGCAUGUAAUGGUAGGCAUCGAGGACUGCAUACCCAUGCUCGUGUGUCCCCCAAACCAUAUCCUUGACAAUCCCUUGGCCAUAUAUAUCUUUCAAUAACUGAUCAUAACACCUAAUUCUGUAAGGAGUUGAUUGGCCAUAUCACUUGUAGAAGGGCCUUUGCCAUUAGAAAAUCUAUUUUGAGAAUAUUUAUCGAGGAACUUUGCCGUGACGUGAGGAUUAUGGCUCAUAAUAUGCUCCAAACCACAUGUGUGAUACUUUCCAUAAACAUUAAUGAAGAAUCUUUUAGAACUUAAGUAUUUCACAGCCCUCAACCACCACUUGCAGUUCGGAUUAGCACAUUAAAAGAAAAGACUUUGCUCAAAUUAAUCACCUUCCGUAGUCUGAAGUCUUUUUUCAAGCAAGCAAUAAAAAGAAGUAGAUAGUUCUAUCUUAUCCUUGAAUGACAUUUCCUUGUAAUAACAAAUUUCAUCAUCUUGACGAUUUCCCGACUAUAUUGAUUGAGAAGAACUGCCCACCAUAUUGCUCGCAACAACGGUCGUAUGUGUUUAAUCAACAUCUGGAAUAUUCAUGUCAAGAUCAUCUAAUUUAUCAUCAAACAUGUAUUGUUGUUCUUCUUUUAUAUUCUGGUUCUCAUUAUCUUUUAUUUUUUCAACCACGUACACCCUUAGCACUGCUUGGCUAAAUCACUCAGAUAAGCAUGCAACCGAACCUAAUUGGUUAUCUUGAAAGGUAGUACCCUCUGAUUUUCAAAGGUGCUGUAUAUGUAGUUGAUGAUGAAUUCUUUCGGUUGAUAAUUCAGUCCACAAUAGCUGAUGAUUAAUUUUACAAAAUCAUCAUACGAAAUAUUACUUUGGACUGUCUUACCUAUCAUCUCUAGUAUUUCACCCUUUUUCCAAUGCCAAAUAUAUUGAUUGCUCUUCUCGAUCCAUUCACCAUGAUAAUCCACCCCUAUUGUUAUUGAUUCCUUCAUUAGUGAUACCUAAAUAAAGACAUUUAUUAAAAAAGUUAAUAAAGACAUGAUAAUAAAAUUAAUAGUGAUUGUAUAGUACUAUAACAUAAACCCCAACAGAUGAGUAAUCUAUAGCAACAUGUGAAUAAUAUGUUGCCACAGGUGAGUGAUCUGUUGCAAUAGAUUACUCACUUGUUGAGAUUCAUAUUACGGUACUAUAGAACCUGAAGCUGAUUCUAAUAGAUGAGUCUUCUGUUGGAACAAGUGACUCAUCUGUUGCAAUAGAUUAUUCAUCUAUUGCAACAGAUGACGCACAUAUUGGGAUAAAUAUUACAGUACUAUAGAACCUUUAAAGCUGAUUCCAACAGAUGAUUAACCUAUUGCAAUAAAUCACCAACUUGUUGCAACAAAUGACUCAUCUAUUGGAAUCGACUUUAGGUUUUAUAAUUCUGUAACAUGAAUACCAAUCAGUAAGUCAUCUGUUGUAAUAGAUAACUCACCUGUUGCAACAGAUGACUCAUCUGUUGAAAUUAACUUUAGGUUCUGUUGCAACAAGUGAGUAAUUUAUUUCAAUAGAUGACUCCUCUAUGCAAUAUACAAUUCGUCUGUUGCAACAGAUGACCCAUCUGUUCGAUUCAUGUUACAACAUUAUAGAACCAUAAACAUGAAUUCAAUAUAUGAGUUUUCUGUUGCAACAGAUAACUUAUUUGUCGCAAUAGAUGAGUCAUCUGUUGCAACAGCUACUCAUAUGUUGGAUUCAUGUUUGGUUUCUAUCUGUUGUUGAAAAAAUAGCAGUAGUAGUGUAUCCAGAUGAGAAAUUCAACUAAAAAUCAUAAUUUUACUUACCAAAGUCACCUAUGAAGUAAUAUCAAAGUGAUAUACGAAACAAAAUUUGACCUAAACAAUUGGUCAAGUAGCAACAGUAGCGGUAACAACAACAACAAUGGUCAACAACAACAAGAAGAAGAUGAUAAUAAUCAAGAAGAAGAAGAAGAUAAUGAAGCAGAAGAUGGUGAAUAAAGCAGCAACAACAGUGAACAACAAAAUCGCGAAGAGAGAGAAAACAACAAUAAAUGAGAAGAGAGAGAAACUAAAGUUAUUCAAGCUAUGAUCUAAUGUUAUUUUAAUAACUUAUUAAUUUUCAUAAAUUUAACUAAACACUAUAGUUUAAUAAUUUUUUGAAAUAGACGAACAUAUAACAAAUAUGAUAAGGACAAAAAAAAGUUGAAAAGAAAUAUAUAUUUUAAAAUAAUAUCCAUGUUAUAUAAAUGGUUGACUUUUUUCAUUAAUUUAAAGUAAAGUAUAUAUUUUUUUAUUAUUAUAAUUUUAGUUAGAUGAUUUUCUUUAUUAUAUUUGUUAGUUGUAGUAUUAGACUAAAUCCCAAAAUUUCCCCCCAAAAUAAAAAAUUACAAAAAAAACUAAAAAUUUCCCCCAAAAAUUCUAAGAACCAAAGUAUUAGACCUAAACCCCAACAUUUCCUCCCAAAAUAAAAAAUUGAAAAAAACUAAAUAUUGUGUGGAAUGUUGUGCAAAUUAAUUUAUUAUUGUAAGUUUUAUAUUCAAAAUUGUUCAUAUCUGUAUGUUUUUGAAUUUUUCUUACACCUAUAAAAUUAUUUUUUUGAUUUAGAUUUAUUUCAAUAAAUUUAUAAAUAUUGUGGCUUAUGAGUGGAUUUUAUGAUUUUAAGUUCAAAUAAUAUCGAGGGAGAAGCUAUGGUUCUGUCCAUUGCAAUCACAAAGCCAUAUUAUAAUACUACGGUGAAGAUUUUUUAAGAAGUUUAACGGAUUUACAAGUUUGUUUACUGUAGACAUCGAAAUUUUGUGGACUCUAAAGAAUUUAAUUUUUGUUAGAGUUCUUUGAGGCCUUUUUACCCUAAAUCUAGCUUGGUGGCUAUUCUACCUAAACCCUAAAUUACACCUAUAUAAAGGGGGCAAAUAUCCUUUUAAAGAGGCAUCUGCAAUAUGCCACAAAUUCAUGAGAUAUUAACAAAAGAUCAACCAUACCAAAUACCCCACAAAUUCAUGAGAUAUUCAUACAUCUCGAAUAUCUCUAAUAUUCCACAAAUUCAUGGGAUAUUCAUGAAGUGAUCAACAAUCUCAAAAGUCCCGAUAAAUUCAUGGGAUAUUCAUAAAGGGAUCAAAACUCUCUCUUUAUGAUAAUCAAAUACAUCAAGAAAAUACACAAACCUUUCUUUCCCAAAUAUUCCUACGUUCGAGAAAUACGCCACUAACGGCCCUCAAUUACGGAAAAAUUCAUAUCCAAAUGUUCCUACAUUCGAGAAAUACGCUACUGACGACCCUCGAAUUAAGGAGAAAAUCUAGAGAGAAGAAUCAAGGGGGAACAAAUUUGUAUCCACAUCAUUUAUCAAUACAAAAUUGUUGUUUAUUCAUAUUUUUAUUUGUGGUUGAAGUUUAUUUUUCAUGAAUUAAAUUAUGUUGAAAACAAAUUGGCAUGCCCAAUGGGACCAAAUUUUCCCUCCAUCUCUUCUCUCAUAAAUCAAAUCUGAAAUAUGUAGCUGCAUAAAGAUGGAAGCUCAAUGGGUACUUCAAGACUCGUUACCAAGUCUAUACUCCGAUAAACCUUGAAGUAGGGGACAUUUGUAGACAUCAAAGAGUUUAAUUUCUUUUAGAGUUCUUGAAGACUACUUUACCUAAAAUCUAGCUUGGUGGCUAUUUUACGUAAACCCUAAAUUACGCCUAUAUAAAAGGGGAAAAUAUCUUCAAUAUCCCAUGGGAUAUUAAUAAAAGAUCAACCAUCCCAAAUACCUCACAAAUUCAUGAUAUAUUCAUAAAUCUCGAAUAUCUCUAAUAUUCUACAAAUUCAUGGAAUAUUCAUAAAGAGAUCGACAAUCUCAAAAGUCCCAUUCAUAAAUGGAUCAAAACCCUCUCUUUUUGAUAAUCAAAUACAUCAAGAAGAUACACAAAUCCUCCUUUCAUGGAUAUCAAAUUCAAAUGUUCCUACAUUCAAGAAAUACACCACUAACGACCCUCAAAUUACGGAGAAAUUCAUAUCCAAAUUUUCUUACAUUCGAAAAAUACGCUACUGAUGACCUUCGAAUUAAGGAGAAAAUCAAGAGAGAAGAAUCAAGGGAGGAACAGCUUUGUACCCACAUCGUUUAUCAAUAAAAAAAUAUUGUUUCUUUAUAUUUUUAUUUUGGUUGAAGUUUAUUUUCCAUGAAUUAAAUUAUGUUGAAAACAUUUAUAUUUUUUGUUGCUUUGUAUUUUAGUGAAAGGAUUAUUUAAGGUAUAAUUUUUUUCUCCUUAAAAUUAUAUAUAUAUAUAUACACACUCUCAUAUGUAAUCAGUUGGUCAUGAUUUUUGAUGCUAAAAUACUUUAUUAUUAUUGACAGACAUUAGUGUAAUUGGAGUAUAUAAAUGACAAAUUAAAAUUAAUGUUGAUCAAGCUGAAGUGUAGUCAAAGACUGUGAAAGGAUAGAAUGGAGAAGACUAUGUCCGUUUUAGACUUAAAAGAACUGUAUAGGGUAAUUGAUUUUAAAAAAAAAUGUUAACUGUAAGGCUUAUUUUAAAAGAAAAUGGAUUUGUAUCUAUACAUUGUAUAAAUCUUGUGAGUUGUGACUUACAAAUCUCGUGAAAAUUCUUUAAUUUGCACUAAAUGAAUUAUUUAAUGCAACCAUUAAUAUUUAAUAUGUCAUGUUACAAGAAAAUGUAUAAUUUUCACUUUUUGUAGCAAAAUUAUCUGAAUUUUUUUAGCUCCAAUUCUAUAUAAUUCAUGGCUAAAUUUUGAUUUUUUUAGCCACUAUGCGAAAAUAUUUGUGAUAAAUACUUCAUGUCAUAGCCAUAAAUUUUAUUAUUCGCAACUAAAUACAAUUACUAUUGCCACGAGAUUAAACUAUUGAAAUAGCUAUAAAAGUUAAGUUUGCAUGACAAACAAUUUAAAUACUUUACUAUAGUACAAUAUUUUUGUGGCUGCAUCUAUAAAGAUAGCUACACAUAGUAUUGGUCGUGGCAAAAUAAUAAAAUUAUUUGGUAUAAACAUAUUUUUCAUGGCAGAUUUUGUUUACCAACAAAGCUACAAUACAAAAAUGUUGUAGUAAUAAGUAUUAGUUCUUAGCCACAACCUAGGUAAAGUUUGUACCUGACUAUUAGUUAUACUAGUUCUUGCUAUGAAUACUACGGAAAAAAAAAUUAUGACUAAAACAUUUAGCCAUGAAAAUUAUCAUAUUUAGCUACAAUAUAAUUAGUAGCUAUAUAUACAAAAUGUUGUAGUAUGAUAGCAAUAAAUAACUUUAUGUAAGGAAUUUAUUACGCUUAUGUAAUUGACAUUUUGAGCUCACAUUAUAUAUUUUCUCUUAUGUACAUAAUUUUGUGAAUGAUGAUGACAACUUCUAACUUAGAUAAUAUAUUCUAAGUAUUAUUGUUGGACUCAUUAUGUAGUUGAAAGGUUGUGUUAUGCAAUAGACUAAUAUUGUAGCACGUAGAAGGAAUUAUGUCAAAUAAAGUGAUUGAUAAACAAUCGCCAUGACUCAUAUUAGUUGAUUUAUCUAACGACGAUGAAUGAUGUUGGAUUUAACAUUAAUUGUGCAUAUGAUGAUUGACAUGCAUAUUAAAUUAUUAAGUUAUUAGUCGUGCGUCAAAUGGGAGAAUGUAAGUUUCUAUGACUCACAUGAUUAAUUUUAAUUUAAUAAUUAAAUAAGUUAAAUCCUAAACAUGUAUGGAGAAGUUACCUGGUGGAUUAAAAUUACUAUCUAUUAUCCACAUCUCACGUUGAUGGACCAUGAAAAUAACCGUCCAACUCUCCCAAUUAUUAAAGAAUCGUCUCUCUGCCAAAGAAAAUAGUAACUAUUUUAAAACGCAAGGUAAAGUGAGAAACAAAACUUAUGAUUUUGUCGAGAACUGAAAAAAAACAAGUGCUUUCACUAAUUUUGGUGAAAAAGAAAAGUUAUGAAUAUUUCGGGUGUGUUUCUUGAAUGACUUAUUAUUAUUGAAUGGUAUGUGAAAAUUAUAAAGUUCUACGAUUGUGAAAUCAUGUAAAUCCUUAAUGCAAUCGAGAGCGAUUUUGGACGUCCACAGAGUAGAACUAAAACUAGAUAGGCAAAGAACAAAAGAACAACUUGAGGAUCAAGUAAGAAUUAUUAUACGAUAUUGAGUGAAAGAAUAAAGAUCUAGGUCCCCUUACAAGUGAAGAGAGACAACUAGGUAUAAUUUACAACUUGUGAUUUAGGCCAACCAUAAUUCGAUAAUAAUGUCCUAAAGGACUAUGACCUAUGCAAGUGUGCCACACAUCCUGUCGUUAGAGGUGAUGCCAGCUAGCAACUCUGCGUCACUUAGUCUGGUACAGGCCAUUCGCUUCUCUAAUAAUUUAGACAGAGUUUGUCCCAUUAGUCCUAUCUAUUUGCAUUUCCGAGAGGGUGCUUUUGGAGUUUUGGAAAUACCUCGUGGGACUCUACACCCAACCGAUUCUCUCGACGAGUGCCACUUGUCCCAAUCUCGUUUUCCCCAUACACUAUUCGAGUGAAUUUGUAUAUUAUUAACUUGAUGUUGAUAUUUUUCAUCACUCAAAUUAGGCACUUAGAUCUUGAUAGGGCAUUCAAUGAUCUAUUAUCCCACCAUAUUAUUCAUUAUCUGAUGUAUUUUUCAAAAUAUUAAAUUUAUUAUAUUUAAAAAAUAAUAUGGUAAAAUUAUUUCUAUUAUUUAUUAUUUUUUUAUUUUUGUGUUAAUAAAAAAAUAGACAAGUAAAAAUAAACGGAGAAAGUAAUAAAUUACUUAAACAGUAAAUUACAAUAACAUGUAUGGUCACUCGUAAAAUUAGUGUGUGCAAAUGACUUAUCAGAACAAUUUUAGUAAGUAAGUUAUAUCUUUUUCCUUUUAAAAAUUUAUGUGGCGGUUGACAAUGGCAUUAACUAGCGAUGGUAGUUAUUUUUGAAGGUCAACUAAGGAUAGACCUACAUUGUACCAAGUGAGUUGAACAGAAAAAUUGUUUCUCUUAUAUUCCCUUUAAUUUUUGAAGUCACGAAGACAAACCCAGAAUUUAAAGGUUGUGGGUGUUUUAAAAAAUAAAUAAAGCAUACAAAAAUAAAAAUGGAGUCGAACACACACCUUGCACGAAGGACGGCUCAAGGUUCCAUUAAAAUGGCUGAUUAGGACAAAAUACUUGCAGGCACACGCCUAGAGUGCUACUGGGGAUUAAUUUUUGGUCAAUUUUAUAUUAAAAUAAUUAAACUUUUAUAAAAAAAUCCUCUAACUACAAUUUUUUAAAUUUAAAUAUAUUUUUAAAAGUUAAAAAAUAAUAAUUUUUUUUAAAAAAUAAAAAAGAUNNNNNNNNNNNNNNNNNNNNNNNNNNNNNNNNNNNNNNNNNNNNNNNNNNNNNNNNNNNNNNNNNNNNNNNNNNNNNNNNNNNNNNNNNNNNNNNNNNNNNNNNNNNNNUCCCCAGCCAGCCCUCACCCUUGUCCAGCCUCCUCUCCCCGUCCAGCCACCCCUCACCCUCGUCCAGCCCCCUCCCCCAUCCAACCACCCCUCCCCUUCCCUCAACCUCCUUCCUCUCGAUAGUAACAACAAUGAACUCCAUUAACAAUAAUUGAUAAAACUUGAAAAAUAACAAAUGGAUCAUGAAAAUUUGUGAAAUUAAUUCAAACUCUUGAUUGGGGUUCGUUGGAUUUGUAUUUGCUAACUUGUAAUUGAAAAUUUAAGUCAAAUAGAAAAAUAUUUAAGCUAUUUGGAAUGAAUUUUAUGCCUAGUUUAUAAGUAAGUUUAAAAAUGGAGGUUGUUAAAUUGGAGGUUUAUAAAGAAAAGAAAAAGUAGAAGAGAGUAGAAAAAGAAAAGAAGGGGAAGAGAGGAAGGCGGGGGGGGGGGGUUCUUUUUUAUUUAUUUAUUUCUUUAUUUUAAUAUUUAGUAUUUUUUAUAUGUAAGAAUGACGUGGAACCUGACAUGACAGCUGACAUGAGUCGAGUGUGUUACGCUCACCGUAAAAAUGUUUAAAAUGUUGUUUGUUAGUGGGUUCAAGUGUCCAAAUGCCAAACAUGUAAGCAGAAGUAUUUAUAUUACAAAACGAAUAUAGUACAAGGGUCCACUGAACCAUUUUGCCACAUAUUUAAUACAUAAAAUUCAAAAAUCUAUUUUAUUUUUUUAAACACUACAAGUCAAAAUCAAAUACUCUAAAUAAUAUAUUAAUACCUAUUACUAACUUAGUUUUCCUCUUCUUCUUUUUUGGAUGAAACUCAAAUAAUAUCGUAACUUAUAAAUACAAAUAAUUUUUGGUGAAAUGAGAAACAUAUUAUUAAUCACCACCCAAUAAUUAGAAAAUAUAACCCGACACAAACCUGCUAAGCACCCUUUCUUUUGCCCCAUAGCUAUUCAACACUUCUAUUUUCCUAGUCAAUAUUCAAACUUAUUCGUCCCUUCACUCACGCCUCAUACGUUUUUUGAAUAUGUUAUCACUACAACAAAUAUAGAAUUAUAUUAGACGUCGUUGAACUAUAUUAAAUAUUAAAAGUUGAACCGCGUGACAUCAACUAACACUAUAUAUUGGAAUAAUUAUUAAGUCUCACACGUACUUCAAGCACACCUAUAUAUACGCUUCUAUCCUAUAUUCCUUUUACCUACCAAACUUCCAUUAAUUCCUCUGAACUUGCCAACAAGAAAAUUAAACCAGAACUCACAACCCUUUGUUCUCAAAUAUUUUUUGUUUCAAUUGUAGCAAACAAUGAUUUCAACAUGGAGGAAGAGAAGAUCAGCAAGAAAGAGCAACUCAAAGAAACAAAUAGGAGAAAAAAGCAUGGAGUUGUUGAUGAUUCCUAGCCAUUUCAAGUGUCCAAUUUCUCUAGAUUUAAUGAAGGAUCCGGUGACUUUGUCAACGGGGAUCACAUAUGAUCGACUGAGUAUUGAGACAUGGAUUGAAAGUGGGAAUCAAACAUGUCCUAUUACCAAAAAAGUGUUGAAGAGUCUUGAGCCAAUUCCCAAUCACGCCAUGAGGAAAAUGAUCCAAGAAUGGUGUGUUGAGAAUAAAGAUCAUGGGAUCGAGAGGAUCCCAACUCCAAGAAUCCCUGUAACCUCAUCAGAGGUAAUAGAGAUUCUUAGGAAGGUAGAGUCUUGCUGCAAAUCGCAGCAAGGCUUAGAGUCUGGUCGAGAACUAGUAAUGAAAAUGAGGAAGAUGAUAAAGGAAAGCAUGAGGAAUAAACGUUGUUUUGUUACCAAUGG